UUGAAUGCAUUCAUAUCCCUAUAAACAUAAUAAAUUAUAAAUAUAUUCUUAUAAAGUUUAACUUUUAUAUAUUACUCCUGCAAAAGUUUCAAUAUUUUUAAAUAUAUCCCUCUGAUUUGUUAACAUUAUAAAACUGUUUAUAUUUUAAAUAAAAUAUCAAUUUUUCCAUCACAAAUAUGCUCCUCCAAAAGUAACAACAGUAUAAGAUAAGAAGGGUAAAAAUAUCAAGUUAUAUCAUAAAUUAAUUAGAGUUGAGCAUUUAACUUAUAGCUAACUAAAGUUUUCUAACGGAUUCUAACGGUAGGGACAUAUUUGAAAACAUUAGAAUUUUUAUAAGAACGACAUAUAAAAGUUGAACUUUGUAGGGUUAUAUUUGUAUUUCACUAUGUUUGUAGGGAUCUGCAUGAAAUUACCCCUUUAAUUAAAGUUAUUAUAAUUUGUUGAAAGGCUAAAUUACAGAAAACCCCUCUGUCAAAACCCGAUUUUUCACUUUCCCUCCCUAUCAUUUAAAAGCCUACACUUUGCCCCCUUGUAAAAUAAAAAAUGUUCACAGGAGGUACGGUGUGAACUGUAAUAAUAAAAUGACUAUUUUGCCCCUCACUAUUUUACUCCUCCCAUGUUUACAGGAGAGAAGACUGAUGGCAUUUUUGGCAUAAAAAAUAUAUAAUAAUAUUUUAUAAGCGGAACCAUAAUGGAUUAUUAACGGCAGGGGGCGAAGUGAAUAUUUUUCAUUUUACAAAGGGGCAAAGUGUAGAUUUUUAAAUGACAGGAGAAAAGUAAAAAAUCGGCAUUUGACAGGAGGUUUUCUAUAAUUUAGCCUUGUUAAAAUGCCCAUAUGCAGUCAUUGGCCAGUUUCUGACCCCCACAAAAAUACCAAAAAAAAAAAAAAAAAGUNGUUUGUAGAAUUGGACAUUUUGAAUAAAAAAAAAAGUGUUAAGGGUUUCUCCAAUGGAGCAUGAAAAGUUUAAAAAGGAAAGAUAGAAGUUCUAAACUGAAGUUCUGGAUGUGUGACUUUAUAUAGAAUAUAUACUUGCUGAAGAGAGGCGUCGGUAAAUUUUAAAGUACAAAAUAUUUAAAAUUUUAUUUUGUAAUUGAUUUUAAAAAAAUAACAAUUGUUUCAAAUUUACAUACGAAAUUAAAAUACAGUUUCUAAUAUAUAUAGAGAGAGAGAGAGCUAGGUUUUUAUACUAUAUGUGGUAUCGGGGCUCUGGUACUAUAAUCUCGUUUUCGAUCUUAGGGUGUUCAAAUCAACGAUCCACACCAUUAAAACUGAUCUAGGAUAUUUAAAGUUGUUAGAAAUAAAAUUUUAUAUUUUUUCGAUAUAGUUUACUUUAUGAUCAAACCAUUUCAAACUUGCCAAUUUUCAAAGAUUACUAUGGCAAGUUUGUAGUUUAACGGUAUAGAAAAAUCCAAAUUUAUUCAAAUUUUGAUAGAAAAUACUUUAAACUAUCUAGAUCAAGGUCAGCAUUCUUGAUCUUGAAUUCAAAAAUUCUAUCCUUAAAUUUUAAAAAUUGUUCAAUUUUCACCGUUCAUCUUGACGUAAUCUAUUUACUAAGUAAACGAUGUUGAAAAAAAUUAAAAUUUUAUUUCUAAAAACUUCAUAUAUACUAGAUCAUCUUUGAUAGUGUGAAUUGUUGAUUUGAACGCACUAAAAUCGAAAUGAGAUUAUAAUACCGGAGCUCUGAUACAAUAGUUAGUAAUAGCCUCUCUCUCUCUCUAUAUAUAUAUAUAGUUGUUUAAAAAUAAUGGGGAAUAAUAAUUCAGGUGAACCAUGUGAGAAUCAACUAAGCAAGAAAAUAUCCCCUUGUCUCACGCUUCCUCAACUCAAAAUGUAAUCUUCUUCGAGAAAUUCACUUCAUGAAAAGGCAUAAUAAAAGAAAAAUCUUUUCUCUUUUAAGGUACUAACAAAUUAUUCUCUCUCAAAAUAAUAAUAAUAAUAAUAAUAAUAAAGCAAAACUGUCAGAAAAGCUAGAAGACUUAAAAAGAAAACAUAAGAGGAAAAAAUAUACAAAGAUUUUCUAAACUUUAGUUCUUUUGUAAACAGACACUUGUGGUUUCAAAGUUAUUUAUUAUAUAAUCAUUUUGGUUGUACGUGUUGUAUAUAGUUUUAUAAAGCUACAGAACACAAAAAAAAAAUAGUAUUACUUUUGGAUACUAAUAUGUAUAAAGAACGAUAAAAAGUUGAAGUUUGGUUUAACUUGUUCUUCAAUCAUCAUGCAUAAUUCAAGGAAGAGAAAAAAAUAACUUUUUAUUAUAUUUUAAAAUUUUGCAGAAACAUACGCACGGCAUUAAAUAUAAACAUCAGUAUAAUUGAUAAGUUCACUUAGAAAGAGGAGCUUAUUGAACUAUCUGAUUCAGUUUAGCGAAUGCAAUAAUUAAAAUUAAAAAUUCAGACGCCUAUUUGCAAAAGCGCUAAAGUUCAGAGACGGCAAAAGCAUUUGUAGGGUAAGGAGUCUAUUUCCUUCGCUUGGCUUUUUGUGGAGCGGAAAAAGAGGCGGCAAAAGCACAUGGUGCAUUCAAUUUGGUCCUUUAUGUGUAACAAGUUUACAACCACCCAAAAAAAGAAAAAAAGAAAAAAAAAAAAGAAAGAAGAAGCUAAGCAGCAAAAUAAACAGCAGAUACUGACUACUUAACCAACCACACAUCUGCAGGACUGCAAUCUUUAGACAUAAUGCAUGCAUUUUGCUCCUGAUUUCUGAAACAACUUCGACAUCCGAAAACUCAGCAAGGUGUCUUAAAAAAUAAUGAAACAAAAGUAGAGCUUUCGAGCUAAGCAAGAAGUUGAAAUGGAGAAAAUUUUUUGUCGUCGGAGUCUGAGUUCUGAACAGGUGAUGCACUUGCAAAUUCAAGACUUGUUUAGUCCUACUUUUACUUCUUUUUUUUUUUUUGCUAUACUAAGAGAAACAUAAAUACUAUUUUAAGAUAUAAAAGCAAAAGCUUUUAUUUGAGGCUUUGGCCACAAAAAGAUGAUAAUGGAUUAAUGGGAGGGACUAAAAUAUUUCUCCCAGUAGCAUUACUCCAAAAGGUCCAAAUUGUUUUAGAAGCUUUUCUUUCAUAAAAAAGGAAGAUUUUUGUGAAAAAAGUUAAAUAAGGACUUAUUGAACAUUUCACAAUUAGGCUUAGUUUAGUACUGAGACCUAUCUAACGCUAUUAGAAACAAAUAAAGUUGAGAAAAAAAUAUAUAGGGAUAUGCUUCUGCGUUCUCCGGUGGGACCAUAGAAAAUAUAUCGUAACCGACUCAUCGCGAUAUGCGGAACGCAAUAUUACUUACGAAAACAAACAUGAUAUUUUUCCAACGUGCAAUUCCAAACGAAGCCUUAUAAGAUGUAUUAUGGCUUCUUGGAAAAGCACUUCUGCCUCCACUUGUUGAGCCAAACAGGGUCCUACCUCAAAUUAUUAGUCUCAAAACAACUGCUCCACAAGAGUGAGAUUAGACAUAGCCAACAAGGGUCCCAGAAAUAUGACCUACUACCAAGCAAUCAUUCUGUGAGGCAAAGUAUAUUCUUUUUUCUGAAAUUGACCUUAGCUGUUCCAACAACUUAUCUACGUUAAAAAACAGCAAUGUUGACUAAAAGCUUGAGAGUUAAUACCUAAUUACCCAAGUUUCAAGCUUAGUUGAUUCACAUUUUUAAUUAAAUUCAUAUUUAAAAAAUAAACGAAGCGAAUAGUAUGCUAUCUUUUUCUUAAAAAAAAAAAAAAAGCAAAAUUUGUGUCAUUGACUUCCAAUGUGGUUCUGGGCCGAAAAAAUUAAAGCUUCUGCCUCUACCAAGCUGAAAACUGUUGGAGCAAUUUGCGUGUAAAAGUUGAAAGUAUAUUUUUUAACAACUGUACUCAAACACCACUCUGAAAACACAAUCUUUUCGCAAAGCACUUUGCAAAGAUAGAAGUGUAGGAACCAAUAAUUUGAUUUAGCAAGCAUUCAAAGACAACAAUGAGAAAAUGCAGGGACACAAAAUGAAUUAAUUUCAUGAUAUAUACUUGCAAUACGAAUACCUGUUUUGGAUCAAAAUCCAUAAGAUGAGAUCUGCUUUGUUUUAAAAUCUCGAUUUCGUCCCCCAAAUCAAAUCCUCUAAUAUUUGCCUUAGGAAUGCUUCACUUUAGUUUUCAAUUAUUUAGUUUCCUCAAUCACUAUUAUUAAAUCAAAUCUAUCAAUCACAUUUAUUGCAAAAGCCAAAUAGAGUAGUUAACAUUCUACAGUCCCUAAUGCAUAAGCUCAGGUUAGAAUGGUAGAGAAAAGUUCUUGGACAUCAUUUGUUGGACCACAUAAUAUAUGCAACAGGCUACAAAAUCAUUUUCUAUAGCCACACAGCAAUUUAUUAACACCAAUUGUCUUUUACCGUCGUCACACAUAGAACUGUUGCAGUGCCCUUAAUGUGUACUAAUUUGCAACUGCAUAAUUUGAUAGUUCUGUUACCUACACUUCAGUGCCGAGGCGCCACAGUAACAUUGGUAACUUUUCAUUUGGAAUAACAUGGAACAAAUGAUAAAUGAAUCCUCACCCAGGCCACAAAAUGUAAUUUGCAUAGAAAAGAUCAACAUAGUAUUUUUACAUAUAAUCCUCAUUAGCACCUUAGAACUCUUUGACCAAUGCUUAUUCUAAUUCCUCAUAUAUAAAAAUCCUGUAACCAAACACUAGUUUCUUUGCCAACAUUUAUUGUGUGACUCUGUUUGUUGGAGCUACCAGCUACACAUUUAUGCUUGCUGAUCCACAUCAGAGAGUAAGCUUAAAUGAUUGAACAUUUGAACUUAAUGGGUGACUUACAGGCACAGGAGGUUUAGAUGCUUGGAACCAAGAAUUAAAAUAGUUAAUUCUAACUCAAAAAUACAAAUCUCUACUAGAUUAAGAACUGAUGAGCAGUAAAAGCAGGAUGAUUUCGGGGACAAUUAAAAGCCUAAUGGUAUCCGUAUCAGGAUCUAAAUGUACAAAGAGUGAGCAAAGCUGAAAAUUGCAUCGGUUAUGAUUUGCUGUAGAUUGAAGAAAUAUAAAGCAAUGAAGUUUUAGUCAGUAAAGAAUAAAGAUAACCAAAUAAUUCGGACUAUAAACGGGCAAAAACUACACUUGAAUAAUGCUGCAGUAACAUAUAUUUCAGGAUAACAAGCACACUUAAUCAGAACUCAAAAAGUUAAAUCAACAGAUUCGAAUAUAAAUUGUUUUCCUUCGCAUGUUGUUCUACGAUAAUAGUAAGUGAAAGAAUAGCCAAAGUAGAAAAGGCCAUCAUGUAACAAUGUACCGCAUCAAUUAGAAAGUACAUCCCAGAAGAAAACUGAAACUGCGAUUACCUGCUAACCCAGAAACUCUUUCACAGGGGCAAGGGGAAAAAAACCGGCAACAAACCAUCGAACAAUGCCGCUUCGAAACCCCGAGCGAUUCAAUAAACAGAUGAUUCUUUUUGCCAUGUAAUAAGAAUUGAAGCAAAGGAUCAGAAAGCCCCAAUUCUUGGCAUCGCGAGAUUAUUGAGGUGUUACCCUAAUCAUCAUCAUCAUUUCUGAAGAAGUCACUUGCUCAGCCAGGGAAGCACAAUUUUUUUUUUGCACAACUGGAGACUAUACAGAUGCGAAUUAGACCUGCCUGGCAAAAUUUGUAAUUAUUCAUCAGUGGGGAACGGACGCUGAUGGAAAGAUCCGUCCAAGGUGAACAACAAGCACUCCAUAUUAAGCCGCUUUUGGUCCAGCUUCAAUCUAGCUUCUCCAUGGGACCAUCUAUCUUCAGGCACCAGUAGCUGAUUACGGCAUAGAAUUAGUAGGUUAUAAAAUAUUAGAACAAGAGUAUGAGAAAUAGUCAAAUUGAUGUACUGUUAUUAUAGUGUAAAUGCUACUGAUUAUUGAAAUUUCAUUCUCAUAAUCCAUUGGAAGUAUGAAUUUAUCUCCUACGGCACUUCACUUUUCAUUAGGUCAUAUUGUUGAGUGCACUAUAAAAUUAUCCUCUAAAAUAGUGAUAGCUAUUUUAUAGAAAAUCUUGAAGAGCCUAAAAUCAAGUACAGCAGUGCGAAUUGUGAAUUCAUAGAACUCCCUCCUUGCAUGCAUGUGCAUAUUGUAUUUAUACAAAAAAUAUUCCUAACACUAUGAAAUUCCCACAACAUUGUUUUACCAUAUUGUUCACACUUGAAAUUUGAAACUACAGCAAGAACAUUUUGUAAAUAGGAAAGUAAAACAAACAUCAACCGUGAAGCAAUAAUGCAAUACCAAAAUCUAAAAGCUGCUCACAUUGGUUAGAAUUCAGAAGGGUGCCUCGAGUGAUUCAUCCCAAACAUCGCCACUUCCGUUGGAAGCAUCUUCACCAUCUUCUUCCAUGGACAAUCUAAUAUAUUCCCGGUGUGCAAAACGAUCCCACUCAGUCAAAGUUGGAUUUUCACGCUCCUGAAUAAACAUUCAGAUCAUUCAGUGCCUCUACAUGGUAUUGCUCUCAAAAAGCUUCCUCAUGAAAAGGAAAAAAAAAAAAAAAAAGUGGCAGAUUGCAGUCACCUGACGAAUGAGAAAUGGAUCACGAGUUUCAAAUGCCAUAAAUUUAUUCAGAUUAAAAAGGAUAUUAAAAAUAUUUCCCGAAAGUUUGCAGCCUUUCAAAUCAUGUAGUGUAAAAUAGCACUCAUUCUGCACAAAGAGAAGCCAUUAGGAGAACAGCUAAUGUUCACAGAUAUAUAAAAGAUUAAGUGUCGUUUGAAUAUAAGCGAAGAACCUCUGGUCCAAUCAUAUCAAUCAUUUGACAUAAAAUAUCCUCAAAGAGUACAGGUUCUUGCGCCAUACAUUCCAUUCUAUGCAGCUGUUCCUCAUAAAAAAAUUGCAUUUCAUUGGGGGUAAGUAUUCCAUUUCCAUCCAGAUCAAUACACUUGAACCUGUAAUUAUCAGCAAUGCACAUUAACUAAGAGAGAAAAAUAUUAGAAGAUAACAUCAACAAGUACUGCUAGUGCGAACAUCCAGCUUGAACUGAAUAUCUUAAUAUAGAAACAUAAACAUUCUUGAGAACUAAUAAAAUUCUCUCAACUUUUACUGCUUCAGCAGAAACAUAGUGAAAAAGAAGCUAACAUGCAAGGAUGACUUGUAAUACUAUAAUCUUCUGAGAACAAAGGCAUCAGGAGCAGGACAUCAGCAAGUCAAAAUGAAUGGCGUGAAUUACCAAUACUCAAGGCUGGGUUCAGAUGAUUUAUCUUCCUCCGACAAAAUAAAGUAAACAAAAUCUUCGUAACCCAUUUUCCCUUCUGUUUUGCUUGUGAAUUUCCUUGGAAUCUAUAGUGCAGCAACACAAAAAAUAUCAAAACACCCAAAACAUUAAGUUAAUGAUACAAACGGAAGGGUGUGAAAAGAAUACAAACCUGUGAAAAGAUUCUAUCAACUAUUCUGUAGGUUAGUGAAUGGUUUCCGUAUCUGAUAAGGUUCUCUUUAUCGAUCAAAAAAUCAUGGUCUGUAUCAAGCUCCCAAAACUUGCAGUAGAUCACAUAAAAGUGCUCAUAUGAAAAGUACCUGCACAAAACAAGCAACCUCAGAAAAACUAUGUCAUUGUGUCGCCUUUUACACAGCGAUCUUGGAAACAAAGGGUUCAAAUGAUGAGCUGGCUUAAAAAGUAGAAUUCUUCUGCAGAUAGGAGUUAAAAAGAGUAAAUUGUGCUGAUGGUCCCCAACUCUCUUUGGUCCUUCUCUUAUAGUGGUUCCGACAAGACCUUUCUAUCAUCCUCCGUUCACGUCAACUUUAAAUUGAUUCACUGUCACGCUGACAUGCCAGCCAUGUCAGCUUGAGAGAUGGCAAAAUUGGAGUAGCAGCCAUGUCAGGUUCAUUGUAACUCAAAGUUAGACAAUAGAGCGGGCUUAAUUGGAACACUCAUCAAAAGUAAGGAUGUCACUAAGGAUGUCAUGUGUCUGCUUUAAAAGCCAGAAACCCAAGAGAAACUUCUGGAAAAGUGUGAAGACCAAUUUUUCCAAGUUAAGAGCCUCAGAGUCAACAUUGUUGCAUAAUGCGUAAUACAUUAUCAAUAUGCAGUAAAGAUUGCCAGGAACCUCAAAUUUUGCCAUGCAAAGCCCACAGAGCCAAGACACAAAGUUUCAAAGGUUUCCAGAGGUUCCUCAAAAUCUGAUAGAUAUUACAUACGUAGUCUCAAAAGUCAGGCUAACACAUGAAAGAUAACUGAAUAGAUAACAACAAUAUUUCCCACAAGAAGAGGGACGUCAUAGCAACAGAGACCACUAUAAUCACAUGCUCCGAAUAAAAUUGGUGAUAUUAUUGUGAAAAGUUUCUACAGAACAUCAACUGCAGCUUUACUAAAAUAUAUUACCUCAAAACUUUGUUAAUAUCCUCCUCUUCAUCCAGUUGCUGCAGAGCAUCAAUUAAAUUUCCACGUUUCAGUUCUCUGAGAGUAAGUUGCCCAUUUCCAGAUCUAUUCACAAAGUAGAAAAUCCUGUAUACUACUGUUUCAGCUGGGAAAAAAAUAAAUCACAUAUUAUUGACAUGGUAGAAAUAAUUUUAAGCAUGAAUAAAGUACUGCAUAGGCAAAAAGCCGAAUCUGAAUUUUACACUUAACGCAAGAAUAUAGCCAGUGCAACAAUUACCAACAAACUACUCAAGCUUGUAAAAGAUACGUUCUCAGUUCUAACACGUGAAAGGAAUAGAGCAUAUUAUAAUAUUAAUCAUUUGGAUGUUUUACUACAUAACAAUGAUUAAGUCUGUUCUAACACGGUCCAUUCCAUAUGCAGAAUCAAUAUACUCCAAUGCCAGAGCCAGUAGAGUUUGUUAGAUUAUUUUCCCUUCUUUCUUUAGCUAAUGGUAGUAAAUAUUACUAGCUUGUUGAUUUGAAAUAAUUCUUGCCGUCAGCACCCAGUUUUCUAUUUUUAGUUUGACCACAACUUCCGAUAUUGAUAUAAUAAUUAUGUGCGCCACUAUAAGGCAUAAUCAGUUUCUAUUCAUACAUGCAAAUGUAAUUAAGUUUGAUAAGAUUACCAGGAGACUAAUUUUACAAUUUCUAGCAAACUAAAUCAACCUAAUUAUCAGUUUGAGGCUUGAGCUAAGCUACAUGAUACCACAAUCAUAAUGACACUGAGGAACUGCCAAGAAAAACGUCGGACAUCUAUUUUCACCUGUUCCUCCUCUUCCUCCUGUCCUGUUUUGCAGAGCAUCCAAUCAUACUGAAAAUCUAAAUAGAUUUGCUGUUGGUACCUAAGAUACCCUUCUCAAAAAAGGAAACCCUUUCAUGCAAUUCAUAAUAUCUCGAUGAUAAGGUAGACCUCUGCCCACUGCCCAUAAUGCUAUUUAUGAGACAAUCAAAUUCAGAGUUGAUCAUUUGUUUUGCCAAAAGUCUUUAUAAAUGUUGAUGGCCUUCGAUCCAUCUCUAAUCAGUUUUAUUUGAAGUUACCACGAGAUAUAUAGCAUAUAUGUCAUGCCUCAAUGUUGGACUGUGACGCUUCCUCCAAAAUGAGUAGGCAGCAAAGUGCUUAGUUAUUGCAUUUCUAAAAUUUCUUCAUUGUUACUCAGAUUAUCUUGCUAAAUUUUCCAUGAUCCAGAGUCAAACAGGAUCCCAUUAUAAGGUCAAGGAGCGCUGACAAAUUAAGAAAAAAUAACUUGCUAUUAUCUUCGAACUGGAAGAGAAACAUACCAUAUCUUUCCUGAAACUCAGGUGUGCCUUGUAAGAACUCUAAUCCAGGAUGAGUUGCCAAAAGUUCUUGAAGAAUAGGCUUAAAAUCCUCCUAUAUCAGUUAAAUAGUGUCGAGUCAAGCUAAAUUAAAAUAAUAAGAUGCAGUAAAUCAAAACAUGCAAAUUUACCGUAAGAAAUUGAGAUAAUCAAGAUUGCUCCGGUAUGAAUUGUUCAUUAUUUUAGCCACUCUUCCAAACCAGUCUAGCCUAUUCAAAAAGUAAAUCAGAUGUUCCAUACUCGCUCAUUUCCUGAGCCAUGCCAAAAUAAGAGGCUUGUAUAAGAUUGCUUUACAGCCAAACCAAGCUCAAGCAAUAUGUUGACAGAUUGGGCCUUGUGCAGCCCUAGCAGUCCAUAGAAGUUCUAUUGCCCCUAGUGUACGAAAAGGCCCAAGGUGCACCAAAGCGCAAAGGGCUGUUAGAGCCUACGUGCAAGGCGCAGACGCACACCAGAGAAAGGUGAGGCACACUUUAUUAAAAAAAAAACAACAAUUCCAUCUAAUUCCCACAUACCAUGAGUGAGAAAGCAGGGUAUAAGAAAAAACAAAAAUUACACCCAUCAAGAGAGAGAAAGUUAAAAUAGGGUAUAACCCUAUUUUAUUAAAUAAAACAGAGAGAGAGGGGGAGAGAGAGAGAGAGAGAGAGAGAGAGAGAGAGUUAAAACAUUGUUCUUCUACUAAAAAAAAAAAAGAGAAAGAUAAAGAGAGAGAAACAAUGUUCUACUUUUAAAAAAAUAGAAAUAUUGUUUAAGAAAAAAAACAAAUUUUAGUACAGUCUAUCCUGUUCCCACAUAUACGCAACAGAGACAUAGAGAGAGAGACAGAGAGAGAUGAAUAAAUGGGAGGGAGGUGGCAGUGGCACUGUGGCAGCGGAGGGAGAUGACAGUAAUGGAGUCCACAGGAGGGGAGAGGCGAGCCAAGGGGAGGGAAAAAGUGGAGCAGACGAGCAGAGGUGAGCGAAAGAGAGAGAGAGAGAGCAACUAGGAGAUAGAUCGAGAAAGAGAGAGCGAAAGGAGGUGACCAAACCCACUUAAUUUUAGGGUUUCUCAACAUAUUAGUUUAGGAUUUAGGGUUUCUUAGUUGUUUAAACCCAUUGAACCCAAUAAGAGUGGAUCCAAACCCCACUAUUCUCAAGGCGUGCCUUACCAGCGCCUCGCCCAAGGCGCCUAGGCGAGGUCGUGUCACCCGAAACGCGGGCCUAGACCAAGUCGCGUCGCCUAUACGCCUAGGCGAGCACGCGCUUUUUUAAACACAAAUUGCCCCACAUAUAGUAAGAUCUGUUUGCAUGGAAAAGGAAAUACUAGUGAGGACAAAUAGUGUGACAUGGAAUGCUGACCUGUGUAAGGUAGUUAUGAUCUGGCUUCUUCAAAAUUUUAAAUAUCUGUGUAGCUAAAUCCAUGGUCAUCAUGUUGCCAUUGACCCAAUAAUCAACGAAUGCAUCCCUGAAUCAUUUAAAAUACAGGCAAAACAACUCAAAACCGUCAAAAACAGUACCUUUGAUGGUAAAAUUGCAAGCAACAACACAAAAAAGGGAAAAGAAAUAGUAAUAAUCAAUGACUAUCUAUAUUUGUCACAUUAGCUGCAUGGAUGGUUGACAAAAUGCUUGGUCUAGAAAUCAUACAACCUUCAAUGGUAAAAUUGCAAGCAAUCAACCAGAAGUGAAAAAAGAAAAAAGGAAUCAAUAAUCAACGACCAUCUAUAUUUCUCACAUUAGCUGCGUGGAUGGUUGGCGAAAUGCUUGAUCUAAAAAUCAGGUACAAAUUUGGCAUAAACAAUUACUAUAUUAGCAGCGACAAUAAUAAUCUUAUCUUAAUCUGAAAGAAGCUAGAGGUAAUAAUUCUGAAAAGAACCCUGUAAACUCUAGAUUCUUCCCAAGUCCCAACCAAGAACAUUCGAUCAUAUCAAGUCCAAGGAGUAGAUAAACCCCACCGAUGACCAGCUAUAGAAAGAAGAAUCACAAAGUUACACCAUAUAGGUGACAACCAGCAAACUAACCAUCACAUAAAAACUCAAAGCAGUGGCUUGCUUCUAAUAAAGCCAAACUAUAUAGUCAAGAAGAAAAGAUACCCAUAAGCAGUAAAGCCUGAAAACAACAGAUUUUAGGAUCAACCAUCCACUAGCAAGGGCUGACAAGAUAGGUCGGGUAGCAAUUGGAGAUUACAGGCUAUGCGCCAAAGUGUCGAAUCUUUGAUAGCCCAUGCUGUUUCAAUUUCUAGCAAGUGCAUUAAGUGCGUUUUUUUUCCUGACACUAGAAGAAAAUCAUAACUAGCAAAAAUUUGUAAAUAAUACUGGUCGAUAUCUAAGAUAAAUUAUACAAACACCUAAGAGCAGGUACCAAACCAACUCAUCUUCAGUCCAUGAAAUCAGAGCCUCGAAAGGCAAAACUAGCAUUUCAAUAUGUAAAAAUAAAAUUAACAUGUGCGGUAACUAAAAAAAGUUAUGGAUAUUGCAGACCAAGCAAAAAUAAUUGUAUCUUCCAUAGCUAACAUUCCAAGAAAUAGCAUUGCUUUUAAUACAAGUAAUUGUAUCUAUCACAGCUAACAUUCCAAGAAAUAGCAUUACUUUCAAUUUUACUAAAUGGACAGAGCUAACUAAAGUUAAUAAAAGUUGGAAUGAGCCACGGAGGGCAGACGCUAUGAUUACCUUCUAAAAGUAAAAGAAGAGGCAGUAAGUUUGACAGAUUAUACGCUGCAAGUCUACAUACCCUCCGAGUGAAGAGUAAUAAUAAGUUCCAUAGAUAAAAGAAAAUUUGUACUUCCAUCACAAAAUUACCACAGUAAUAACAAUGAGUAAACUAGAACAGGAAAGUAAAAACCCUACAAACUUACCAAUUUUUCCAAUAAGUUUACUAAAGAUUCAGAAACUACUAUUCAGAAAAUGACAACCGAAUACAACUAGGUGACAAAUUCCAUACCUUGAUACAGUUCCAGUGCCACCAACAUCAAUCUUUCUAAAAAGAGCACCGGAGAAGAAUGAUGGUAGCUUACAAAUAUCCUUUGCGACGGAUUUAAAUUCUGAAAUUGGCAAAAAGAAUAUUAAGAGAUUGGGGGUCAAAUAUCAAUGUUUGAAAAGACGCGCCUGAGGCGCGCGCCUCAGCGCCUAGGUGCAAGGCGCUAGUCUCAGUGCCUCAGGGACGCACCUCGUGAUAUUUACGUUUAAUGUGUUUACGGUGUGGGUUUUUGGGUUUUGAGUUUAUUCAAUAUAUUCUAAAAUGUUAAGAAACUUUUUAAAAAAUUUUUCUAAUUGAACGCUUUCUUUUCCUUUUCUCUUAGUCGUUCUCUCUUCCACCCCCCAAUAGCAAUAAAUAGCAGCAGCAAAAAGAAAGAAGCAGCGGCAAACACUUUAAAGCUGAAAGUUGAUACAUAUUUUUUUUAUUUUUAAGCUGAGAACAUUUAUGCAUGCGAUUUCUUUACAUUUUUAUGGCUAUUUUGUUUUUGUAUAGCUAUUUUAGAAUUUUUUAAUAUAAAACAUCCAUUUAAAAUAGGCUUGUUAAGAGUGUUUUACUUUUAUUAGAUAUGCGCCUCACCUUCUUGAGGCGCGCGCCUCGCGGUGCGCCUCGCGCCUAGGCUCCAUAAAGCCUUUGCGCCUUUUUGCGCCUUGCGCCCUUUCAAACACUAGGGUCAAUAUUACUGCACAACUAUAAUGAUAAGCUAGCAAUAUAAUUCACCUUGGAUUUGAAGACCCUCCCCACCAAAAAAGAGGUGAUCAAUUCUAGAUAGGCAUUGCUCUUUCAGAUCCUUUGGAGGUGGGCGCCCAUUUUUAAAAUAAAACUACAAAGAUACAAAGUGCCAGUCAGACCCAAAUCGAAGUUUGUCAAACGUUGUUGUGCAAAUGUGACAAGAUUUAAUAAUAGACUACCUGAGGUAUAACUUCUUUCACUGGCUCACUAACAAUUUUUAGUGGAGAUCCGAAGGAUGAAGGUCCAGCUCCUGCGCCACGUCUCAUAACACGAGGAGAUCCAGAAGUGCUUCUAGGAGAAAGAGGAGGAGCACUGCCGGCCGGGAACAUUGAAGGCAAUGAGCUACUUGCAGCAGCAUUCGUACUACCAGAGCUGCCAGGAGCAUUUAAGGUCACACCAGCUUUCGCGUCUUCAAUCAAAGACUUAACCUACAGCAAAACACUAAUAAUAAGGCAUUGGCACAUCUGCAACAUUUUGCCAUUAUAUACAGCAUUUGAACAUUGACAUGCAAGAAUUACAUCACAAAAGGGUGUGACAUUUGUGACACAAAGUUAAUGCCCAUAAUUGCUGCAUUUACACAGUACAGAAAUAUAGCUAUCACAAGCAAAUUACACAUGACAGAGUCCUAGAAAAGGCCUUUCGGAGGCGCCUUGUAGAUUACGGCAACAUAUUAUAGUGAACUUUUUUGCCUAAUCAGCCAGCUAGAUCCAAGUGCAUCCCCUUUUAUGUAGCCAAGGAGCAACAAAAUUUAGCUAGCUCUAGAUAAAUUUUCAUGCGUUUUCUAAGGAUGUCAGUAUAUCAAAGUGCAAAAAACUGCUAUUUUUUAGCCUUCAGUGACAAUGAAACUUUCAUGUCUCGAAUUCAUUAACAUUCCAUACCUGUGUUGCAACUUCACCAUAUAGGUACAACAUUUUGCAAAGAAAGGGUGAGCUCCGAAUGAAAGAUAUUUCAAUUCAGAAAAAUAGCAUUGACGAGAGUUUUCUCAGAAGCCCAUAAAAAAAGAGACAACUUUAAAUUAGAAUUCAAUAUAAAACUCAAUACAGGUAAAUCUAACAAAAGAAGGGCUUCCAUCUGUGACAAUGAAUCCAAUCAAUUCACCAAUUAUACCAAAAGGAUCCAUAUGAAGUGAAAUUCAACCAACUACUUAGUUAUAACUUAUUGACUGACAUUAUUUGACUGAAGUUGCAUGAACUUUAACCUGUGAUAUAGUUUGGACUUGAACCAAAGUGAUCGACAACCCCAACCUGACGUAACAUACAAAACAUGCCUGUAUUAGCUUGUUUUCCACUGCUUGAAAUAUUUGGGAUUUCUUUGCUUUUAUUAUUUUUGGUUAUUGGGUAGAUUGGUUUUGGUGGAAUCGUAAAUUUUGAUGAAGAAUAACGAAUUUAUCUCCACAUCCUCUCAAUUUCUGUUUUUAAUUUGAUCUGGCAUAUCUUUCAUUGUUUUAAACAAUUUGAUUAGUGAGUUUCAGGAUGGCUUUUCAGUUUUCUGAUAUUUUAUCUUAUACAAAUUAUACAACAGUCGGCCUUCCUUGUCCUAUGGCAAAUGUUCUCACAUUGGAAAGACGCAAUCCUACGUAUUUAACUGCAAUGUCAUCAUAUUAGGCUAUAAUCAAUUGCUCCUAAGAUAAUAUCUUUUGCAAGGCAAGUUUUUAGGUUGAACAAUUUUGAUAAACAUUUCUUUGCGCAGAACCCUCAAAAAUGAAAAACCAUAGUUAUGCCUUGGACUCAUGGCACCUGAUACAGCACCUAGAAUACACCUACUGUCGUCAAUCUGAAGUCAGCAAUGCAUGCAAAAGUGCCUGGACACUAAUCUCAAAACAAAUCCAUGCACCCAUAAGUACAUCCACAAUAUGCAAAUAUACACACUUUUUAUGCAUUUAUAUCUGGUUUCUCGGUACAGAUAAAUGCAUAGAACACGGCGCACGUCCGUUUUUAAUGCACAAAUAUAAUCACACAUAACUGAUCAUCUCAAGUUUUGUGGUUAUGAAGAGUGCAUUGAACGUUAUUACUACGAGCCACACUCAAUAAAGUUACCAACCCUAGAUUGUAAAAUCAGCAUUUCAUAGAUGAAAUAAACACCAGCAAUCAUCAUAAAUAUACCACAGAUAUAUGAUCUAGGGUCACCUACGCGACCCAUUCUUCGGAACGAAGCAAAAAAGUUACCAGCUUGGAGGUUUCCGGCAACGAAAGCCACUGCCAAUAUAGCGACUCGGCGAUGCUCGGAUUCUCCUUCAGCGCAAGCGACGAAACCUCGGGAAGCUGCAGCAGCUCCGGAUCGAGGGACGCGGCGUCCCUUCCAACAUCCGCCUCCAUCCCGAUCGAACCCUAUUUCUCUCUCUCUCAUACACCAAGAAGCCCCGAUCGAGGACCACCGCCUCCCCCACCAGCAAACCGAUCCCAAGACCAAAUCUUUUCGGCCCGGCGAUUCCACAAACCCGAAACCCUAGAUCGCCGCCGCAGCGACCGCCCAAGAACAACCCUCGGGAGGUCGGAUUCCGCGCAGAAAGCCUAGCUUCGCGACUCCUCCUUCCUCCGGCUCCGCGGCUUCAUGAAUCGGAGCCGAGCUCGCGGCGGAUUGCGGGAGGGGGGCCGGAGGGGAUCGGGCGGGGGAAGAAGAGCGGAGCGGAUCGGAUCGACGGGGAUUAGGGUUUCGCAGAGAUCGAAGACGAAGACGGAGACGAAGACGAAGACGACGAAGAAGGCGAAGAAAAGGGCGAUGCGGGGAUCGGCUUCCGAGCGCUCGAACCCUAGACGAGAGAGAGAGAGAGAGAGAGAGAGGAGCGUCGAAGGAAAAGCGAAAAGGAGUACUCGGACACCACCAAUAUAACAGCGAAAAAUUGCCUCGAAAAGGCCAAAGCGCAAAGAGAUAGAGGAGGAGCGUAUCCUCACGGUAUUUUAUACGUACAUGUAUAUAUACAUAUAGAUACGGAUUAUGGAUUUAUUUUUAUAAAAUUUCAAGGAUACUCACUUCAAUUUACCCCCUUCGGUUUAGCUAAUUUUCACUUUAUCAACUUAUAGUUCAAAAAAUUAUAUUUAAAUUUAACUAUCGUGUGACAAAAAAUUACACUUAAUAUUUUGUUAUUAUGAAAAACUUACUUUGCUACCCUACUUGAUAUAGAUUUUUUUUUCCAUAAAAAUCAAAACUAAAAUUAUAAACCACAUGAUGUUAAGUAUAAUUGAUUUUUUAUAGAGGCGAAUCAAAGAUUAUCUUAUUUUCAAAGUACACUUGUAUUUAAAAUGUUCUUAUAAAUUUUGGUUUGAUUUUUUAUUUCAACCAUUUUUUAAAUUUAAUGGCAUGGUUUAAGUUUUCAACAUAAUUUAAUUUUAAUAGAGAAAACCAAACUUAACUAGGUUACUAUAAUUUUUUAUUUGUUUAAAUAAUUUUUUACAAAAAACUUAUUUUUAUAAUAUAAUAUUUUUUUGGCCAAUUUGCAUAAAAAAUCCACUUAUUUUGGGGUUUUGCAAAAUCGGGCCACCUUUUUCCUUUUUGCAGAUUCGGUCCGCUUUUUCCGCCGCCUGACCAAAAUGCCCCUCCUAUACAAUAGCCUCCCGCGUAUUUCUUGACAUACGUAUACUCCCCUGCCGUACGGNGCGCUAGACCGUACGGCAGGGUAGUAUACGUAUGUCAAGAAAUACGCGGGAGGCUAUUGUAUAGGAGGGGCAUUUUGGUCAGGCGGCGGAAAAAGCGAACCGAAUCUGCAAAAAGGAAAAAGGUGGCCCGAUUUUGCAAAACCCCAAAAUAAGUGGAUUUUUUAUGCAAAUUGGCCUAUUUUUUUAAAGCCUAUUAAUAAAAAAAAUUUUAUAAGUUCCAUGACAAAAUAUAUCAUUUUCUUGAGCCAUGAUACAGCUUACGAACCAGGCGUCACAUAAGCAACAUAAUACAUCAUAUUACCAACAUAUUAGAUGGAAAUGUAUUUUUUUGUGCGUAAAAAAAUUCUGUGCACAAAGAAGUACAAUAAUGUUGUCCAAAAUAUUUUUUAGGAAAACAUAAAAAAAAAACCCUGUGAUUUUACAUUUUUUUAUUUUAGUACCUACAGUUUAAAGUGUAUCAAGUUAGUAUCAUAUGGUUUCUCACUUUAUCACUUUAGUACCCUGUGGUUUAUAGUGUAUCAAGUUAGUACUCUGUGGUUUAUUUUUGUAUCAAGUUAGUACCAUAUGGUUUUAUUUUUAUAUCAAGUUAAUACCCUGUGGUUUAAAAUCACAGGGUACUAAAGUGAUAAAAUGCGAAACCAUAGGGUACUAACUUAAUACACUUUAAACCACAUGGUACUAAAGUGAAAAAGUGCAAAACCACAUGAUACAAACUUGAUACACUUUAAACCACGGGGUACUCAAGUAAAAAAAAAAAAAACGACAAGGGGGUAUUUGAAGUUUUUUCUAUUUUUUAUUUUUAAAAAAUACAUAAUAUUCUUCUUCCUCUCACCAACUAUUUUGGUCAAAUAUAGCAGUUAAAAGGGCUUUUUUUCAAUUUAGCCCCAUGACAAAUUUUUAUUUAAAAAAUAAUCCUGUCAAAAUUUAAUUUGCAAAAAUAGCCAUGCCCCUGCCACGCAGGCGUCACGUCAGCGCCAUUUUAAAAAUAGCCCCGUCAAAAUUUAAUUUGCAAAAAUGGCCCUGCCCCUGCCACGCAGACGCCACGUCAGUGCCACGCUCGCAGGGCUGGGACCAGUGUGUUAAGUUGAACACGAUGAACCAUUCACCGUGUUUAAAUACGAUGAAUCAUUCACCGUGUUUCAUAUUUAUAUUCCUUUUCUUCUCUUUUAGGAAUGUCAACGGGUAGGAUUUGGAUCAAGUUUUUAAAAAUUCGAAAUCGAAUUCGAAAAUCAAAUUAAAAUCCGAACACGAAUCCGAGCCCGGCGGGUUUUAAAAAUCCAUACACAUAUCAAUAUAUUAAAGUUAUAUGGGUAUGGAUUUUUAAAACCUACCGGGUUCGGGUUUUAAUUUAAUUUUUGGAUUCGGAUUCGAGUUUUUGAAAAUCCGAUCCAAACCCGACCCGUUGACAUUCCUAAAAGAGAAGGAAAAAAAUAUAAAUAUGAAACACGGUGAAUUAUUUACCAUGUUUGAACACGAACAUGGUAAAUGAUUCACCGUGUUCAACUUAACACACUGGCCCAGCACUGCCUGCGUGGCGUUGACGUAGUGACUGCGUGGCAGGGGCAGGAUCAUUUUUGCAAAUUAAAUUUUGACUGGGGUAUUUUUAAAAUAAAAUUUUUCAGGGGGCCCAGUUAAAAUUUGGUUGAUCACUAUCGCCUGCACCUGAUGCAUCCGUACAUCGUGCACCACCCAAUCUAUCAACCGUUCAUCCACUCUAUGUCUCAAUCUGCACCGUCCACUCAGUCCCCACCUACGAAGUGAACGGCUGAUACAUGCGCGGUUCACAAUCCUAAAUAUGCACCGAGUACAGCCACUGGUUUCUGGCAGAUCGUGGCCCUCUUUUCAUUUUCCAAAGGGCGGGACGACAAAGUUUUUGCGUGCACCGCGGUGUACGCACCAUACACAAACAAAAAAAAAAUAUAGGGUUAAUUUCAUACAAGUCAUUGCAAACAUAAUGAAUGAUAAAUAUAUCUCUAUAAAGUUCAACUUUCAUAUAUUGUUUCUGUAAAAAUUCUAAUAUUUUCAAAUAUGUCUCUCUGAUUUGUUACUGAUAGAGAAUCAUUAAAGAGCUAUUUUUAUUUUCAAUUUUAUCAUUACAAAUAUAUUCCUCCAAAAAUCAUAACAGUAUAAUAUAAAAAAAUAAAAUAUCAAAAACUAAUUAGGAUUACAUAUUUAAUCUAUUGUUAACUAAAUUUUUCUAAUGAAUUCUAACAGUAGGAAUAUAUUUGAAAACAUCAUAAUUUUUUGAAAUAAUUUUUUGAAGGACAACAUAUAAAAGUUGAAUUUUGUAGAGAUAUAUUUGUCAUUUACUAUGUUUGUAAGGAUCUAUAUAUUUUUUUACAUGAGAAAAUAUUGGCUAAAAAUCUCUUAAUUCUUUUCGAUUAAGAAUUAAAAAUUAAGAAUCAUAGAACACAUUUAAUAAUCUAAUUUUUAAAAUUUAAAGCCUCUAAUUUUAAGUCUACAAGAGCCCGGUGCAUGGAAUUUUUUCUCCGCGUUAACUACCGCUCACCUUCGUUUACUUCGCUCACGAUAUUUCUAAUUAUUAAUUUUAUUUAUUAUUUAUUUAUUUGCGAGUUCACAUUAGAAAUAUUUAUUUAUAUAUUUAUUUACAUAUUAUUAUAUCAUAUAUUAUUUUUCGAUCAAUAUAAGCUUAAUUUCUUAGAAUUAAUCACAUCAUACCUCGAUCUCUCUCCUCUCCAUCUCUCGAUCUCGAUCUCGUUCCCGUUCUCUGGAGAAGAGAUGAGUCUAUUUGCGAAGAAACCCACCGCAAAAGGUACUAAAUCUCAUCUUUUUCAAUGAAUUAUGCCCUAAUUCUGGUAAUUUCGACGUAAUUUUUGCGUAUUAUUGAUUCUGAAAUCGUAUUCAAUCCGAAUUUGUUCGGUCGAUGGUUAAUUAUGCCUUAAUUUGCACCUUUUUUGGGAAAAAAAUUAAGGGAUUUUAGUUUUUGCAUCAUCGGAUGACUUCAUUUGCGUGUUUUCGAUUAUUGGAUUUAGUUUUUUGUUUAUGUGUGUGAUGAGAUUUCAAUUUGGUGCGAGUACAGAGGCGCUUCGGAGUAGUAAACGGGAGGUGUCGCAUGCUACAAGAGGUAUCAGAUCACGAGUAGUUAAUUUUAAUUCGUUAUUUCUGUUUUUUUUAAGUAGAUUUAAUUUGUUUUUGUUCAUCUCUUUGAUUUUAGAAGCAUAACUUGUCAUUAAAAAAAAAAAGAAAAAGCCUAGCAUGAGUUACUUGUGCCCAAUUAGUAUUCAUAAUUGCUUUAUAGGGCUGAAUCUCUAAGUUGGUUAGCUAUUCAAUCUUUACUAUUUAUAUUUUUUGUUAAAAAAUGCUGGAUUCCUUAGUGCUGCUUCAUUUGGAAAAUUAUGUUUUGAAACAUUUGAGGUUAUUGCUGGAAAUGGAUUCAAUCAUACAAAUUAUAUGAUGGUGUUUAUUAGUGAUUAAUCUUUGUUUAUGUUCAGUGCCGUAAUUAUGCGUUUGUCAAAUUACAGGUAUCGAGAGGGAGAUUGGAGCCUUGCAGUUAGAGGUACAUAAAUGGAAUGCCCUGUAUUUUUGAAGUUAUUCAUUGUUUCUUUGCUGAAUGUGAAUUGAUUGGCUAGAACUGAAUUAUGACUGCUUUGAGGCAUGUUUCGAGGUGAUGAUAUGUCGGUGUAAAAUAUUUUGCUUUUCAGAUAUAGAUAAAACUGAUGCAUCUGAGGAUACUUGAUAAAUGUAUAUGGUUAGCAUCGUUUAUUGUAGAGAAUGGACGGUGUUGACAAAUAUGGGUUAAUCUUAGAAAUCACCUGUGUAGAGGUCAAAAGAUUCGAAACCAUCCAGCAAUCAAAUAUUCUUUUUGCGUAACUCAGUCUUUUUUCGUAAAAAAGACCGACAUAUAUGCCAAAUGAUUUGUUUUAUAAAAGAAUGCAAGCGCAGUGACUAGUUGUUGUCUUUUAGGCUCAUCAAGGUUAACAGAAAUUAUUCUGUGUGAGAUGGCUGAGAGAAACUUAAAGCAUUAUGAUUCUUCAGAGAUGCUGUUGGCGCAUCUAUUAUCUCUAAUUUGCUUUACAUUUGCAUUUGACAGGAAAAGAAGCUGGUUGCCGAGAUAAAGAGGACUGCCAAAACUGGAAAUGAGGUGUGUUUGAUGAUGAUCAUUUCCCUUGUAACUGUUUAGAGGUUACACCUUGAAACUUACCAUAAUUUCAAUAAAAUAUGUAGCUUGAUUCUUACACUUACUUUUAUAUUCACAGGCUGCAACGAAAAUUUUAGCCCGUCAGCUUGUUAGGUUAAGGCAGCAAAUUGCCAAUUUGCAAGGAAAUCGAGCCCAGAUGCGGGGUAUAGCAACCCAUACACAGGUAGGCGCACAAAAUUUUGUUAAUAUUUUCUAUCAUUGAAUCUUGCUGACCUUACUAGAGUAAAAUUUGCUUGUCAGGCAAUGUAUGCAAAUACUGCAAUGGCUACCGGCAUGGCAGGUGCAAGUAAGGCUAUGGGAGCUAUGAAUAAGGUCUUGCAAACCUAACUUUCAGAAAUGACGAAUUUUGAUUAAGAGUUUUUCCAUUACUUUGAAGUAUUUUGUGGUGAUCUGAAUAAAACUGUUUACUAGAAGUUCGAAAGUGUAAAAAAAAUAUUUGUCUUGUAAUUUUUUUGCUGGAAAUUGGUCAUGCAAUUGACGAGCACGUCAUUAUUAAUGCAGCAAAUGGCACCUGCAAAGCAAAUGAAGGUCAUGCAAGAAUUUCAAAAACAAUCGGCACAACUAGAUAUGACGGUAAGGCUGAAAAAUUUUCCAUCAGUGUCUUUACAAAACAUUUAAUCUGAUGAUAUGAAGUUCUGCACACUAUUUCUUGUGGGAGAGGUCCUUAUGCAAUGAAUACUUAUUUUUCUGUAGACCGAAUUUCUUUUGUCCUGUUUGUUUCUCUGUAGCUUUUAUAGAAAUAAAUAGAUUGAUUUUCCUCAUUCACACUUAUUUGUCAGACAGUUGGUGUUUUAGAUGUUAUAAUUUCCAAUUUUCUCUAAUCCAUUUAUUCUCCAGUUAUUUAUAUUCCAAUUUAUUUUGAAAUUCACUAUUUGGCUUCUAAAGUUGUCGCUCCUGUUCUUAUACCUUUCACAGAAUGAGAUGAUGUCUGACUCCAUCGACAAUGUCUUAGAUGAUGACGAGGCCGAAGAGGAAUCCGUGGAACUCACUAACCAGGUGUCUUACUGUUUCUUUUUUUGUAGUACCCUGUUCCUUGUAUACAGAAUGUAUUGCUGAUAUUCAAAUUUCCAUUGAAUAUCAAUUUCUUCUAACCAUCUUUUCAUGACCUUUUUCUCAUUAGGUCCUUGAUGAAAUUGGUGUUGAUGUCGCAUCACAGGUUUGUUUCUGCAUUUUCUGAUAGAAUGGCUGCCAUCGUCAUUUCGUCUCUAAUUUGUUGUAAUGCUCGAAUUGGCUUUGUUGCUUUGAAAACUUUUUGCAGCUGUCUUCUGCUCCCAAAGGAAAAAUUGCAGGGAAGAAGGUUCAGAUGGAUGAAAGGUUUGAACCUCUAAAUACUCUGUCUUUAAUAUCUUAUAUGUUUCUAAUUCAUGUUAGCUCUUUUGUUGUACAUGUUAGUGUGUUAUUAAAGCCUAUGUUGAUAUAACCACAUUCAAAAUGAAUAAUCUACAUAGUACUACUUCAUCGGAACUGUCUAUAUCAGCGUCGCAAGUACAACAUGAGAAGUCGACAUUUUGUGAUUAAUGACCAUAAAUUCUGUACAAAGCUCUUCUUCUUGCCAGAUUACAACCCUCUUACGAACAUCCUUCGUGAUGUGAAUUUUGCGUCGUUUCCUGACAUUAUGUGAGAAUCAAGUUGGACCACUAUUCCGUCAAAUGAGACAUUUUUUGGCCGGAGUAAAGGAUCCCGAUGAAACCUAGCUAUUCUCGUUAUCCCGGAAUAGCUUGGGAUAAACUAUCCCACCAUUUUGGUGGAAUAGUACUAUUCCAAGGUUUAAUUCCAAGCUUUAUUAAUAUUAUAAAUUGAAUUAAAGUAAAUUAUAUAUAUAUGAUAUAUUAUAUAUUACAAUAAAUUAUUUUUAUUAUAAAAGUAUUUAUUGUACUAAAUUAGUACAUAUUAUUAUUUGUACUUAAAUAUUAUAAUAAAUUAUUAUAACAAAUUAUUCUUAAGUAUCAUAAUAAAUUUUUUAUCAAAUUCAACCAUUAAUCUUUUCUUUCACUAUUCUCUUUUAUCCCCUAAAAUUAACCAAACACGAUUUAAAUUAUUUCUGAGAAUAGCAACAUUACACACCAAACACAAAUUUACUUUUAUUCCUGACUAUCCCGGAAUAGUAACUUAUUUCAUGAAUAAAAAUUUAUCCCAAUGUUUGUUAUCCCCAAACCAAACGGCCCUUGUAGAGUCUUGCCCUGUUGCUCUUGUUUGACUUAAACAUAUUUAGUUGACGCAUCCUAAUAUAAUGAACUUAUACUUUGAUAUAUCCAUGUUUUUUUUUUCAGUAGUUCCAUAGAAAAUGCAAAUCAAUCUAGGCUAUCACAGAUUCACAAUAGGUUUGCUGCAAUAUCUUGGAUGAUUAACAGAUGAUUAUUGUAUAGCGUUAAACUCAUGAUUAAUAGAUGAUUACUGAGCAACAUACUAUCAGUUUUUUACGUGAUACAUCAAUAAGCAAUUUUUUUGGCCCUGAAUGACCAACAUGGGAUUUGCAGUUCGGAAAUGGACGAGCUUGUGAAGAGGUUGGCUGGUCUGAAAAAUCCAUAAAUAGAGACCUGUUGAUCCUGCGACUUCUGUUUCCGCACCUGUUUCCAAUUAACGAGGUUUUAUGUAUUAUAAAAGAAAAUCAAAGAUCCCUUGUACUUGAGAAUAGUGAUGUAAAUAAAUAGAUUGAAAAGGAUCAUCUAUUUUGUGCCUCAGUCGAAUGAAAUGUUAGUUGUUUGUCGACAGAGCUUCGUAGUUCCUCUUCAAGUUGAGAAUGAAAAGCUAUGGUUCUUAUCGGAGGUACCAAUGAAUGUAAUACUAACACCACGUUUCUAGGUUAAUAGUGUAUAAUAAUGGUGUCAAUCGUCGAUUCGAAUGCUUUAUCACUAAAAACGAUGCGAAAGCAAACUAUUCUGUAUACUUCUAGAGGUACUCUAGAUCUCUGUAUGUGUAUAUAUAUUGAAUUUUUAAUUGAGCAAAGUAACGGAAACGGCGACGCUACCGCUUAUCACAUCCAAAUGACAAACUAGUGUAGAACACAGCUUAUAUUUGAAUAAAAUUCAAUAUAAACACCUGCCCAGGAUAGCAUCCACAUCAAAGAUCCUUCGAAUGAGGUUAAAAUGCCCCCUUCUUAGCAUGUAAAACACAAAAUAAUCACAAUGUUUGUUUCCACUGCAAGUCAUACCUUACCAGUUUCGCACGUAAUUUGGAUCAAUAAAAUAAAGAUAUAUGUUGCGUUAACUAUGCACGAUUUUUAAGUCUCCAAGAUGACAAAAGAAUCACUUAUAUAGACUGCUGCUUAUUAUAGUCUUGCCGAAACUGGCGGCUGACCACCGAUGAUUAGUUUAUUACCCACCUCUCCUUUCGAUUCCUCACUUACGCCUCUCCGCGCUGAUAGAGAGGAACUCGAAGUUUCGGAGGCUCGGGUCGCCUUGCGCAUUUCUCGCUUGCGAUGACCUACUUUCCAUGCCCCCGGAUUGAUGAAGCCGCUGAAAAGUGGACGGACGGCUGCUGCUGCUGCCGCUAGAGACCAGUCGGCUUGUGCGGUUCUGAUCACUAAAUUCUCCAGAACUUGGCCGGCUCGCUGAUACCACCGCCCUUUUAGAUGCGCUCCCAUUCCUAGAGGAGGAUGCAUGUGUUCUGUCGAAAUCAGUAGCCUAACAAAUUACGCAAAGAAGUUUCUGUUAAUACAACGAAGAGCGUCUGACAAUUGGUCAACACCGCCGUGCCUCGAUAUGUCAAACCGUGGUGCAGUAUAAAAAGUUACAGGAAACUACUUACGGGCUCUUUAGAUGGCAUUCGCGAGUCCUCUACAGUUUUCUGCUUGGAGUUAUCCCCAGGAUGACCAGAACCGGAAGCAUUCCUUCUAGCGAAUGCUUCAACCGCACCAGAGAAUCGGUCACGGAUAUCUUGUCCCACUGGAAAAAAGGAAACAACUUAACAUUGUAAUUCUAAAAACUGCUUACUACGGGAAAAGAAAUAAAUAUGCUGGAUAUAAAACCUGAAGUCCUUUCUGCCCUGUCUGCGGAUGGUCCAACAGCAGUCGUUCUUCCGCUAGGCUGCUGAUGAGAAAGAAAAUAACAGUUAUUCGCCAGAUAGAUAAGAGGACACCAGCUUAACGGAAAAAAAUACAUAAUGGCAAAACUACUAACACAUACUCGUGAUCUCGUAUUGGAACCAAUCUGAGGAUACUUCAAUACGGUCCAGUCAAAUACAUAAUCAUAUUGGUACCCUGUAAAAUAUAUCACAAAGAAAUACAUGUUUGAUUGGGAUAUAUAAAAUACUCCACAUAGGGCAAAAUACAUUGACAGCAACAACAAAUAAGGCUGAAGGGUGCUCCAGAACAUAAAGCUCAACAAAUGCCAGGGUCCACAGGAGGCCAAGAUAUAUACAGCCAUAAUGCAUGUUUACCCUGGUGUUUAAGACAGCAUCUCUACGCCAAAAGAACAAGCUUCUAGAAAUCAGGUAAUUGGCAAACAAAGAGUUCGGAAAUUUCGCUAUGGCAGGAAGAUGAAAUGAACUUUUGGGUCCUAGGAGCUGAAGAUCCAAUUUGAAGCCUCUACAUUUAUUAUCUGUCAGAUCAAGAAGCUACUGGGGAGAUUUCAAUGAGAGGUUAUUAUGCUUCUUAAAAUAGUUAUAGUCAAACAGCACUUCUGCAGAAGCUCCAGCGGGACCAAAUAAGUCCAUGCUCCUGUUACCUAGAGACUAUUUUCUUGAUUUGAACCCACAGCAUCAGGCCUCAUGAAACAGGCUAAUCGUCUCUACAUCAUUAAGUGCCUGUGGUGAAUGUAGUAAGAGUGAAACAAAUUUGUUAAUUGUGUCAGCCAUAUAUACCUUCUCUAAUAAAAAGGUCACGGAAAAGUUUCUUCAAAUAGGCGUAAUCUGGCUUGUCUUCAAAUCGCAAGGAGCGACAGUAUUGGAAGUAUGAGAUGAACUCAGGCGAAUAUGAUUUGCAUAGCACCUGAUCACAAUAAUGUGAAAUACAUCUGGUUAUCUUUUGCACUGAAAAAAAGAAGGAUACUGGAACUAAAGCAAAAGCAAAUACCUCAAAAGGAGUAAGCAAUUUCUUUUCACUAAUUUUGUCAUACUUCUGCUUUUUAGUGCCCGCCUUUAGACCCUGCCAAGGGAGGCUGAUCACAAUGGGGAAAUGCAUUCAAGUGAGUACACAAGUUAAAAUGGCUGAGAAGAAGAAUAGCACAAUGGAACCACAUUAGCGUGCCAAAAGAAUAUGCAUAAAAUAUAAGCUCUAAACAUAGUCAUAAAUCUAACCUGCCUCUUAAAAAAUACAUAAGCACAUAACCAAGAGAUUCCAGAUCAUCUCUUCUGCUUUGUUCUGCAAAUAUAAAAGAGAACAGCGGCAAAUUUAAUGUCACCCAGAUAUUAAGAGUUCACAUUUGCAAGUAAGAUCUCAUGAUAUAUCUCAAUUUCCCUCUCCUGAUAAGAUAAUAACAGACCGGCAGGUUCUUCCUAUGUCGCCUUGAAUAAGUGAUGUCCUUUUUUAAAAAAAAAAACAUGAGGGGGGGAGUAACAAGACCUGAAUUACGGAAACACAAUUGAUCUGAUCCAUAUCUAGUAUCAUUAGUCUGAAUGAGAAUACUAACCUACUCCCAGAUGAGUAUUAAGACUAGCAUAGCGCGCUGUUCCUGUGAGAUUUUUGUUCUCCCUGUGAAAAAGGAGCCAUUAGGUUUUCUGGCUUCACCAACAGUAAGCAGCAUAUUCAACUCAAAACAACCAAUAAGAAUAACAUGAUGUUAAGAAAGUUGAACAAUCACUCUGCAAAUGCAAGACGGAAUUCACAGGUUUUGUUACAGAUAUAAAGACAAUGAAGAAAGGCCAUUUUGCCAAAAGUCAUGGAACAAUUAUAAUAAAUAAAAGGUAACUCCAACCUAGCACUUAAUGCAAGCAUAUGAUAGUAAGCACGAGAUGAGAUGAUUCCCUCACAUCUGCACUAGGGAAACACUCAACAUACCUAUCUUGUCUACUCAUGGACAGCAAUUAAAAUUUAAGAAUAAAGGAGAAAUUUGCGGUACUGCAUAAGACAACAGUUGAAAGAAUGGUAUGUGAUCUGAAGUCCUGAACAUAUGCAGGCCAAUAAAAAAAAAAAUUGUUUAAUAAAAGCAACUUACUUAUGUUUUACCUGUAAGGUAUGUGUUUAUGAGUUUGAAGGUCUCUAUACUUCUUCGCCAGGCCAAAAUCGAUGAUAUAAACCUGACUCAGAGAGUAUUAUGCCAACAAAAUAAUUCAUCAUAAUUAUACAACUUCAUAAGAGCAUUAAUAUAAGAACAAAGGUAGAUUCACUUUUGCUCUCUAAUUGACUACUACCAACAUUACUACAAGACGUACUGACGUACUUCUAUUCCAAUUUAGUUAUAACAGACCCAUCAGAAGCUUGUUUGAAUAAUAAAUAAUGGGAGACCAGGUAAUAUAGCAUCUUGCAUGCCCUAUUAAUUGUUUACCGAGACAAAAGAUGCACCUUCAAAAUGAAAGGAAAGCCAAAAAAAAAAAAAAAAGCGAAAGAAGGAAAGAAAGAAAAAGAAAAAAAAGAACCUAUAAGUCCAAAAAAUUACCCUGCUCUUAAGAUAACAGCAGUUAGUCUUGAACGCAUGUAACUGACAAAAAGGGCAGGAAAUGAUUACAAACCUGAUUCGCUUUUCGACCUAAACCAAUGAGAAAGUUGUCUGGCUUGAUAUCACGAUGAAGAAAUCCCCUUGAGUGCAUGUAUUCAACUCGGUUAAGCUACGCAAAAACAUCAACAUAGGAACAUUUUUAGAAUAUAAGACUAAUUUCGUACGCAUCAUUUAUUACAAAGUCAACAAAGAAAACAGUAAAUAAAAGUAUACUAAGCAUUCUUAUUAAGCACAGCAAUUCCCCUUGAUACAGCUCCAAAUUAGAUUGAGGGACAUGGGCAGAUUUUUUUCAGGUUUUAUAUACCUGGCUGAUGGAACAAAGAUAAACUUGAAUAUCUUUCCAAAUAUGUCAUUCCCAAUAUAAAUGACAAAAGGCAAAAAAAAAAAGAAAGAGAAGAACACUUACUAACUGAUCAGCGAGCAUAAGCACUGUUUUCAGGGUGAACUUCCUAUUGCAGUAGUUAAACAAGUCCUCCAAACUUGGACCUAGAAGAUCAAUGACCAUGAUAUGGUACUCUCCCUCCAUGCCAAACCACUUCAGGUGUGGAAUGCCAGCUUCAUUUGUCAAGCAUGAAACAAAUUAACUCACAAACUGAUACUAUCAACAAAUAGAUAUAGCUUAUGCCAUACGAGCUUACUUCCUCCUUGCAGAAGCAUAUACAACUUUGACUCAUAGUGAAGCUGAGGAUGUUUCGUUUUCACAGAUUCCUGACAAUAACAGCAUAAAAGCCAGUGAGACAUGCAUCAAAAAUUAACAUAAUUCCUUCAUCAAAAGGCUCAAACAAACAUGCUACAUAAAAUUAACAUCUUUUUCAAAUCAUCCUAUGCUUUGUCUUCUACGCCAAACUCUCUUCCAAGAAUAACACCAGACCCAAAAGGUAGAAGUGGUAGAAGAAUUUAGAGUGGGGUGCAAUGUUUAUGAUUCACUUCAAAAAAAAAAAAAGCAGCAUAUUAAAACAUACUACAUGCAAAGCCAAAAAAACAUGAAAAAGAACAUUCAAGAUGAAUAACAUAUCAUGUCCAAAAGUAGCUAAGUGCGACAAAAAGAGCCUCUCCAACAUCCCACUGACACCAGCCAAGGUUAAAUAUUUUCAUGAAGUUUCUGAAUCCUUGCUGCUCCUAAUUACCAGAAACAAUUAUCUGAAAGCACUCGAAGCUUUCCAACAAUACAAUUAGCUUCGGAAACAUAAUAUCCACUAUAUUUUGGCAUCUAUAAUAUAAAAAGGGAGAAAAAAAAAUCUAGAAACAUAAAAAACAGCUGGAGCAUCAAAUAUACAUAAGUUUAUUGACGCAUACCAACUUGAUAGCCACUUCCUCUCCGCUUUGUAUGUUUGUACCUGAACCAAAUCAAAGCACACAAAGCACAUUAAACAAUCUUAAUAUCGCAAAUGCAUAAAACGAACAAUCCACUACAUAAAAAAUUCACAAUUUUUUACAAUACCAAGAUAAAGUUCUCCAAAAGAACCACUCCCAAUCUUCCUCCCAAGCUUAAAUUUUCCCCCAAUAACGUGCUCCAUAGCAACCAAAAUAACUCAAAUUUCCGAAUAAAAAAGAAAAGAAAAGGGAACUCCUUUCACCUACUAAUCCACCACAGAUCCCAAUUCCAGUCCCACCAAAACAAAAACGAUGCCCUAGAAUCGACAACCCUAAUUCCGUCAAAAACCCUAGGAACCAAUCCACAUUACUGUGGAAUCAAACUCCAUUGCUCCGUAGGCGGUUGAUCUGAAUGUCGAUUUUCUGCUCACCAAACACGACGGGCUAGAACCAUGUCCAUCAAAAACCCUAGAAACCAAUCCACAUUGCUGCAAAAUCGAACUCGGAUGCUCCGAUCAAUCUGAAUGUUGGUUUUCCUCGCACCAAAAACGAUGGGCUCGAAAUCGACACCCCCGAUUCCGUCAAAAACCCUGGGAACCAAUCCAAUUACCGCGGAAUCGAACUCCGUUGCUCGGCAAACGAUCGAUCUGAAUGUUUGAUCCCGCUCUCACCAGAAAAUUUUUUAACGAUGCCCUAGCUAUCCACACAAACCAAUUUCGCCAAAAAACCACUAGGAACCAAUCCACAUUGCCACGGAAUCGAACUCCGUUGCUCCGAAAACGAUCGAUCUUGAAUGUUUGAUUCCCCUCUCACCAAAAACGAUGCCCUAGAUAUCCACACCCCCAAUUGCGCCACAAACCCUAGGAAUCAAUCCACAUUGCCACGGAAUCGAACUCGCUUGCUCCAAAGUCGAUCGAUCCGAACAUCCAACGCCAAAAUUCAUCAAAAAGCACGAAGAUUCGAACCCUCGAAGCUCCAAUUCGGCAUCGAAGUGGAGGACCGGGUCUCGCCUCUCACCGAUUUCGGAGAACGGAGGCGACAAGGGAGAGGAUAAAAUAUAUUUAUAUAUUUAUAUAAAAAAAAGGGUGAAUUUUUGGAUUUGGGGGCAAAAAUUUUAAUCGUCCUUUUUUCGAUUAUUAUUAUAUUUUUUUUUGUUUUGAAAAUUUGUUGUUAGGUUGUGGUGGUUGUGACUCAGUUAAACAUGCAUUAAAAAGGAUUAAUUGCGUGUUUAUCCCUACAGAGUGAUAAAAUUACAUACAGUAAUUUAUCUCUACAGGCUGCAAAUGGAUCCGGGUUUGACGGAGCUCCCGCCCGACCCGCCCCAAAUAGGUGGGAGCCAAAAUAAUAAUAAUAAUAAUAAUAAUAAUAAUCCGCUAAGAAAUGAAGCGAAAAAUGGCAACUUCUUUUUUUUCUUUAGUUUUUUUUUUAUCUAUCCCGAUUAUUCAAAAUUUAUUAAAAUUAUUAAAAUUAUGAAAUAAAAAAAAUUGAUAAAAAUACUCAACUUUAAUUGGCCAAUUAAUCNAAUAAAAAAAAUUGAUAAAAAUUAAUUCGUUCUCAUCCGUCAAGAAAAUGGGACGAAAGUAACAUGGUUUGUGAAUAUAUAUCUCUUUUGAUUAAUUGGCCAAUUAAAGUUGAGUAUUUUUAUAUAAAAUGUUCAUUCUACUCUUUAAUAAAUAUUUUUUAUUAUAUUUAAAAUUAUUUACUAAUUAUAAUAUUUUUAUUAUAACUUUUAGAAAACAUUUUAAAUAUCACUUUGUGGUUUCACACUUUCUUAUUUUAUCACCUUAUUAUGGUUUAAAAUGUAUCAAUUUAAUUAGUGCCCUAUAGUUUCUUUUUUUUUUUAUUUAUCAAUUUCACUAUUUUUUUUUCGUUAAAUAAGUGACAAAAUUAAAACUAAAGAAUACUAAAAUGAAUAUUCGAUAAACGUAGGUGGGGUGUCUGAAGUUUUUUUGUAUAUAAUUUAAUAAAAUAUUAACGGAGAAGUUGACGAAAAGAUAAAAAUAAAACUAUAUGACACUAACUUGAUACACUUUAAAUCACAGGGUACUAAAGUAAGAAAGUGCGAAACUACAGAGGUGAUAUUUAAAGUUUACCCUAACUUUUAUGCUAUUCUGUGUGAACUAUAAAUUAUAAGUUCAAAAAACAUUUUAAAAAGUUAUUUUUUAUAAAGUCAUAGCGGUCCGAAUAGUUAAAACUUAACGGUCAACUAACAACAAUCAACUAAUAGGAAUAUAUUUGCAUAUUUUGGAGCUUUAGAGAAAUAUAUUUGAUAAUUAAAAAUUUCGAAAAAUAUAUAUAUAAUUUUAAAACUUUAUAGUAAUACAUAUGAAAUUAUUACUAAACAAAAUUGUAUUAAUUCUAAUUUAUUCAAUAAAAAUGUUGGAUUGUUGUUUUAGUUCUGGUGCAAAACUUAUUUUGCUGAAUCGGGUAGACUCACGUAAAUUAAAUAAAAUGUCAAAUAUGCAGUUAAUUUUAAUAACUCGGAGAAAUAUGGAGUUUUUUUUUGGGGUUUUUUUAGAGUAAGCAUUUUUAAGUUAUAAUAUAGAUAUAUGUAUUCAUUCACAUAUAAAGUUUUUUUUGGACUUUUCAAGAUAGCUUUUUUUUUUUUUGUUUCAUAUUCAAGUUAAAAAUACAACUUGGUUUUUUUUUUAAAAAAAAAAUUGAACUAAGUUCAAAAUAUUUUAUUUUUCCAAAAAAUUGGAGGCUAAAUCAUCUUAAUUUUAAAGAUACAUGCAUAUGUGUAUAUUAGCGAUUCACGAUACCAACCAACUACGGCUAAGAUACCAACUAACUACGAGACGGUGGUAGUAACUUAAUAUUUUAUCGUCUCGGUAUUUCGAGAUACCAAUCAACUACCCAUAACAGUAACUUCGUAUUUUUUAUCCUCGCUUUAAAAAAAUAUAUAUUUUAUCCAAUAACUUAAAAAGAAUAUAAAAAAAAAUCAUGUCUGUGUUUGAUUUAAAAACUGCUAGUUCCAGGGAUAAGUACAUGUUCAGGUAUAAGCAGGAACUAGACUAAUUUUACGUUUGGAUGAAAAUUGAGUUGUUCCUAGGAAUAAGGUAAAGAGUGUUUGGAUGGUCAGAUUGGAACAAGAGAAAUAAGAGUUAUAAUUUUGAAAUUAAAAUUAUAUUUUGUAAUUAAUUAACAUCAAAAUAUUACUUAAAAAUAAAUAAGAAAUUAAUUAUUAAUAAUUAAUUAUAAAUAAUAAUUAUUAAUAAUUAAUUAUAAAUAAUAAAUUAAUAAUAUUGAAUAUCAAAUUAAUAAUAAUAAUAAUAAUUGAUAAUUAUUAAUAAAUUAAUAUUAAUUAUUAUUAUUAUUAUUAAUUAAUUAUUAAUAAUAAAUUAAUAAAAAUAUCGAUUAUCUAAUUAUAAAUAAUAAUAAUUAUUAAUAAUUAAUUACUAGUAAUAAAUUAAUAAUAAUAAUUAUCUAAUUAUUAAUAAUUAAUUAUAAAUAAUAAAUUAAUAAUAAUGUCGAUUAUCUAAUUAUUAAGGAUAAUAAUUAUUAAUAAUUAUUAAUAAUUAAUUAUAAAUAAUAAAUUAAUUAUAAUAAUUAUCUAAUUAUUAAUUAAUUAAUUAAUUAGAAAAUAAUAAAUAAAUAAAUUAUUUAAUUAUUAAAGCAAUAAAUAAUAAUUUAAAUAUAUUAAUUAGAUUAAUUAAUAAUUUACUGCCAUUAAAAUUAAAUUUAGAUUUUAAUUAACCUUGUUCUCAUUAAGGAACAAGUUUGUUCCAGAAAAAGGAUGGAACGACAGUUCCAGCCUUAUACUAGUUUGUUCUUGAAACCCCGAAACUGUUGUUUCCGGGUACCAAACAUCACGUUUGGGAACAAAGGGGGGAACAAGGGCUUAUUCCCCCCCUUGUUCCCGAACCAAACGCUACGAGUACAUCCCAACAUUCCACUUUGGAAACUAAUCUAUACCUUAACAUUAUUUCCCCUAAUCUUACCACGUGGCAGCCUAUCUUUCACCCUCACUUGCCUCUCUUUUGAACCAAAUGGCUAAGCAGUCUCUUCGGCUUUCCUUCCCUGUAACGUCUACCUCUUCAACUUCCCGUCUUAUUAAUUUUUUUCAUAACAUAUGUCUCUUUGACUUCCCAUCUCAUAAUUCCUUCUUUGUAACAUCGCUAUUUCGACUUCCCUCUCAUUAGUUUCUAUUUUCUAAGAAUCAUUGCCCGAGAAGCCUGUGGGCACGGCAAAUUGAGUUCUCGACAACGACCUCGCCUACUACGUCCGCUCCCUUCAAGCCCGCAAGCACACGGCCCUUGCUCUCACCGUCAACGUCGAGUGAGUCGAACUCUAACCCUAGCCUCGAACCUUUCUCCCUCGAUGUCGACCACUUAUAUUUGUAAUAUAUAGGACUUGCCAAAAAAGGGUUGAAGGCGCUGUGAUAUUUCACGAAAGCAUCGGUGUUAGUAGAGAAUGCUCUAAAUGAGGAUACAAAGAGGUCCGAUUUCUAUGUAACACAUUUUUUUCUCCUAUAAUUUUUUUUAUCUUUCGUUAUUUUUUAUUAAAUUAUAAUUUUAUUCUAAAAGUUUUAAAAUAUUUUUAAUAUUAUUAAAUUUAAUUAAAUAUGAUUAUAUUCGCCGCAUCGCGUGGGUUCCUACACUAGUAAAAGCAUUAUUUCUCUCAGAAGGGAAACUAAUAAAAGCAAGGAUAAAAAAUACGAAUGAAAGAGAGGAUUUAAUAAGCAUUUGAAUAGAGCUUUCCGUGAACCGAGUCAAAAAAAAAGUAGAUUAUUUUUAAAAUUUAUUUGACAUAAUAACUCGAUUUUGAUGGUUUAAAAUAUAUUUUUUCAUUUAACAUAUCCUAAAAUUACACAACCAAGCAUUCUAAAUUAACCAUAGAUACUAAUGAAAAUCGAGUCUGUGGAACCAAUUAGUGACAACAAAAAAAGAGAUUAUCACACAAUUAGUUCGAAAAGAAGAAAAAAUAUUUACGUUCACGAGAUAUAAUAUACAAAGGUUAUAAUCUGCCCAAAUGCAGAACAAAUGAUUUUCUUUUUUGCACAAAAAAGAAAAAAAAAAGUAAAAAAAUCGUUUGCAAGUAUUUCUAAGAUGAUGAGCUUUGGCUCUUCGAGACCUCGAGUUUGGAAGGUAAGAGAUUGAGGAAGCUCCCUUCAACGGGUUCGUCGGAUUCGUCAUCACCGUCGGACGAUUCUGAAGAUAUAAUGAAAAUAAAUUAGAGGAAAUAUGGAAAUGGUUGAACAAAUGCACCAAAUAUUUGAGAUUGGUUAAAAGAACUUGAAAUGGAGAAUGUACCAAAGAGAGACUUGAUAGUUGGUCUCUUUGAUUUACUCUUCUUCUUCAGCUCAGCUGUAAGGCGAAAAAAGAUAGGGUAAUCAGAUACUGAAGAAAAAAAAAACAAAAAAGCAUACAUCAUAGUUUGACACAAUCCAGGAGAGCUGUUUCUAAAGAAAUCUCAGCAAUUUGAGAAUUCUAGGGCAACAAAUCAAUACCCAUCCCAGGCACUUCAUUGUCGUUUACAAUCUCGAAGUUCUUAUAUGUGUAGCCGACGAAAUUUAAAUCCUUCGAGGAAAGCAUCUGCAGGAGUCAAGUAACACAUACAUAUUAAAAACAAGUUAAAAACAAUUGGUACGACGUGUAGGAUUAAGUUAUUAUGUUAUAGUAAUCUAAACGAUAAAGCAGAAAGGAAGCAGCUGCCGAAGACAGAUUCUGAUUGCAUCCUUUUCCUACAUUUGGGAUAAUUCCUUAUUGAAAUAGCAUCAAAUUAAAUUUGGGUUUUACUGUUGCUUCUGAAUUGUAACGCACAUAAACUGCAAGCCAAGCGCUCAUUAUCGUCAAUAUUCCCAUCUAGAGCAAUACCCAGCAUUCCAUGUUCAUCUAUUUCUUCGUAUGAAACCAGGGAUUAUCAAGAUAUAAAACAUUUUGGGCUUCAUCUACGGUCAUACAAUAUUCUAACCCAUGGAUCCGUACCAUCUCUGCAGAAGAAACAAUUUCAUUUCCAGUCUUAUUUUCUAUUUCCUACGAUAAGGAUGCAUAAGCGUAAGUAUGCUUCAACUAACAACAACACCCUCUAUUUUCUAAUCGAACAUCUCAACACAUCGGUAGACAACCGGUAAUUAACAAAAUAAAACAUCAAAAGAAUCAAUACUUCCCAUCCUAAAGAAAUGAUGCAAGUCAAGAACCUACAGAAUAAUAUUUACCUUUCUCCAAGGGCCGGAUUUUGACGAAGUCUGAGUCUGAUCCUCAGACUGCAGCAGAAAAGGUUCAACAAAAUUAGAAAACACUAUUUAUUUAUAAAUUAUUACAGACCAUGAAGAACCUACAGAGAGAAAAAGACAAUUAGAUGACAUUUUACCUCUUCAAACUUCUCGAAGUUUUGAGUGUCCAACUCAUCCUUAACCUCAGGUAUAAAUGCAGCCUCCAUUUGGUAUAAUCUGUCCCAUUCAAUUCCUUUAAACCAAGGGUGGGCCUAAGUUCACAUAGUAAUUAAAAAUGAGUGAAGAUUCACAUAGCAAAUAAAAGCGAGUAAAAUUCCUCAAAAUAGAGCCUCAUUAUGACUGGAUUUAGAGAUAAAAAUGGAUAGCAACCUUUAUUUCAUCAGCACCUCUUGUGCCAAGACGUUGAUCGACAUUGCAUAACAGCUUACUGAUAAGAUCUUUUGCUUCUGCAGAUAUCCUUGCUUCUUCAGGAAACUUUAAAUGUGUUCUCCAAUUUACUAUCUAUCAAGUGGGUGAAUGAGAAGAAAUCAUGAAACUCAACGGGAAGAGGGAAAUAGAGAAAGGUCAACUUACAUGUUUGAACUAAGGCUCAAUGUAUUCAUAAAAAGUAAUUUUAUACACAUCCAUAUUCACAUUUACCUUCCUGCAUGUUGCCAUAGGUUCAUCUGAGUAAAAUGGUGGAUAACCGACCAGCAUUUCAUACAUUAUAGCUCCAAGUGACCACCUAAAAGGCAAAAAGAUGCAUUCUACUAUAAACAGGUGUAACACGUACAAGCGAUGCUAGAUAUAAGGCUUACCAAUCACAUUCCAUCCCAUAACCCUUCUUCAGUAAAACUUCUGGAGCAAUAUAGUCAGGUGUGCCAACAGUAGAGUAAGCCUACGGAAAUCCAAAUACAAAAAAAAAUUAGAAAAUCCAGAUCCUAAAAUGAAAUAAAUUAUGUAAACACAACGUUAACUAGAAAAGAUAAUAAACAAAAGGGUACAUUUAUGUUUUAAAGCCAAAAUAAUACAAGCGACAAGACUCUGUUUCAUUGACUCCUAGCUCCACUUUUGCUCCAUAGAUGAAGAUAUGCCCCAUGCAUCAAAAGUUAUCAUCUUUCCUUCACGCAAAUUCUUUUCAUACCUAGAGUGAUUUUAAAGGGUUGAGUUCUCCAAAUCUGAAUGAGCCCAAUUGCAGCCAACAAUAUACUGGCAAUCAAAAAGUGUUCUAGCCAAACUGCACAAUGCUGGGAAAAGGCUUUGAAGGGCAGUAUAGUCCUAAUACUAGCAACCUGCCUCUUGAUUGACUUCUAUGUUGGUAUGAGUCAGGAUAUUCUUUUAGGCUCAAAAUAAUAUCAAGUUUCCUCCCUUCUCUUUCUCUGUGGCAGAACUUCGUAUAACCCUAUUGAGUAACAGGAAUAUAGUCUAUCCUCUAUGACAAUGCAGGUUCAUUUACGCUUACAUCAAUCAAAUGCUCAACAGGAACAAUCUACGGAUAUUUGGAUGAUUCUUCAUUAUCAACACUACUUCCGAAAAUGAAGUUAAUCUAAUAGAGCACAGGCUUGCUUGGAAGAGAUACCAUGCAUACUCCUUUGCCAAAACCAAGAGCACAAUUAAUCAGACACUAAGGUUUCAAAGAGGAGAUAGCAUCACAGAAGUACUGACCAAAGUUCUUCUAUUCUUUUGCCAGUGCUCCAGUUGUUCUUGCUGAGUCCUUUUUGGCAAAGAUUGUCGUCCGUCACUUUGUAAAGAUCCACUAUAGUUCUUCCCUUGUGAAAUAUCCUUUUCAUGUAAGUUUGGAAAAUUACUACAAUCUAAUGGUUUGCACAAUCCAAAAUCUGACAGCUUAAGGUGACCAUAUCUGUCUAGUAACAGAUUAUCAGGCUUGAUGUCUCUGAACAAGAAAAGAAUAAAAGCUUUACUGCUAUGAUAUAGGUCAAAGGAAUAAGUACUACAAACACUGUUUAAGUACUAUUGACAAACCUAUGAAUGUAGUUGUGUUUGUGGAUAGAUUCUAUCGCAAGAACUGCCUCUCCAACAUAAAAUCUGGCUUCAUCCUCGGUCAAUGUAUCUUUCCUCAUAAGAAGAGUCAUCAUGUCACCGCCAGGUAAAUACUCCAUGAUAAGGUACAAGUACUCAUUAUCCUGGAAGGAACAAUAUAGCUUCACGAUACAGCUGCUGUCAACCUCCGCAAGAAGAUUCCUUUCAGCCUUAACAUGCUCAACCUGAACAAAUUUUGACCCAACGUGUAAAAUGAGCUACAUGACAGAUAAUCUUCUUCUCAAUGCAGCAACUCUGAAUUUUUCAGCUUUAUUAAUUAAUUCUAUCAAUACCUGUCCUCGACGUAGCAUCUCUGAUUUUUUUAGCUUCUUCAUAGCAUAUACAUUUCCAGUGGUCUUCUCGCUACAAACCCUGACCUGCAAUACAGUUAGUUUAAUGCACAACAUUUGAAGAACAAAAGAAUAACAACAGCCAAAAAAGAAGAAGAAGAAGAAGAAGAAGAAGAAGAAGAAGAAGAAGAAGAUGUGCGAAUGAGCCAUUAAUCAAAGCUCAGAGAAGAAGCCCAAAAGGUUGGGUAUGCAUAAAUAAGAAUACAUAGAUUUCAAGUAGUCAUAGUAGCAUUACAUUUUGCUAAGACGAGCACCAGAAAGAAGACUUGGAUAUUUACACAAAUAAAAUAAAAGGAUAAGAAUAAUGAAAACUUGGAUUUUUAAUUCAAAAUUGCAGAGACAACAUGAUACAGAGGUGAAAAAGACUCCAUUAAAUUUAAACGCAAAUCAUCUUCUCCUUCUCUGAUCAUCGAACAAAACAGAAAAAUUAGUGGUUUUGCAGAAAAAUAUACCUCGCCAAAUGCACCCUUUCCUAUCAUUGUCAACAACUCAAAAUCAUCAACACCCAUUUUAUGCCUCUGAAGACGCAUGUAUUCUGUCUCUUUCCUUUCCAAGUACUUCAGAAUAUUGUUCUGCUCUUCUUCAGACAUGUCAGCAUCUGCUAGCUUCCUCUCCAAACUAUAACGCCUGCACAAAGAUUCUAUAUUUAAACUAAUAAUUUACUAUAUCAAGAUCAAGAGGAUCCAAAAGAGAAAUUCUACUGCAAUUCUUUUGCUAAAGUUUCCCAAUCAAAACAAUUGCAUCUGUCACGUUCACCAAAAAAGAGACUGCAUACACUGUCUCAUUUAAUCUAAUAUGAGAAUACAAUUAGCCACAGAAAUUAACUAAAUAACAAUGUUAAUACUGAAUAAGUCAUGCAGGAAUAUGAUCUAGCCCAAGUAUUUUGAAGUUUUUCAAAGUUAUCAAGUUGUGAUGGGUGAGCUAGAGCUCCUAGGAUAGCCCUACCUACAGUAGAACCAUUAAAAACUACAACAGAGGGGCAAAAAUUAGAAUUCUAGUACAGGUCAAAAUAAGCUGAAAACCUGUUAUAUGUUUUCCUUACUUAGCAUAGUAUUACUUCAUUUGUUUUCACAAAUGAAAUCAACAAACGGAGUUGAUCCUUCCAUUUACUAAACUAUAGACCACAAAUCACAAGCAUUACAAUUUUAUUACAAUAAAAUGAAAAAAGCAUUACAUUUUAUAGAGACCAAUAUUAUAUUGAAAAUUUUAGGAAAAACUACGACAACUAAUUAAUAAGGUAAAAGAACUACGAUCCCUUCUAAUCUAUUAGCCAAUCUCCCUGUCUUGUUCUCCAGUUCUAUACCAAUCAACAAAUACGCAUCAGCUAAUUGAGUUUGUCCAAUUCAAUGAAUAUGAUUUGAAAGUAAACGAACAAAAUGCCCUACGAUGCGAACUAAACUGCUAAAUAACUAAUCUACAAUGUUGCUGAAUAAUAUAAUUUCAAUGAUAUAUAUCUUCAUAUUUGUAAAUUUCAUCCAAGUUUAAGCUCACAGCUAUAUGAGGAAGGAAAGGAAUUGAUGAUUGCGACACACGUACCGCUCCUUACGCUCCUGCAAAUUCUUCAUCUGCUCUUUGUAAUGAUUCUCUAUAUAUUGCUUAGCCGCCGCAACUCGUUGCUUUGUAGCAUUCGACGGUGCCUCAUCAUUUCCUUCUUUUCCAUGGGGUGGCAGAUCUUUCUUCUUCAUUGUGGAUUUCUCCUUAGGCUGCAGCUUUUGGAACCAACUCUUCGCCGAAUCCAUCUCUUUCCACAACAAAUUAUAUCAAAAUCCAAUUCAAUUCGAUGACGAAAUCUUAAUUCCACACCACUCCCUUGUAAAUCCAAUUCUCCAGCUUGAUUUUGCCAACUACUUUCUACAAUGUACGAACGGAUUGAAAUCCAACACCAUUAAAAUCCUCAAAACACGAAUCAAAUCCAUGGCACCACCAAAUCCAAAUCCCAUUACCGAAUCAACAAAUGCAAAACCCAGUCAACUCAACCAAAUCGACCGAAUCCACCGAAUCCACCCGGAUCCAAAUCAAAUCACACAGAAACAACCGCAAAAAAAAAUGAGGAAAAAUCAAAUUUAAUGAAACAAUUCGCCGAGAAAGGAAGCGAGGCGCCGAUCCGGGGGAGGCUUCCCCAGUUAAGGCGCGCGAUUUGAAUGGGGAAAUUCGGGGAACAGGGUUAGGGCAAUGGACGCGAGAAUCGGAGGGGGACACGGGUUACCGCACGCGAGAGGGGAUCGGAGGAAACCCUAGAAAUCGGGGGGAGCGGAGAGGAGAAGAGGAGUGGACUCGUCGGAGGAGCCCGCCAUUCCCGCUCCAUCGAAGCAACGGUUCCUAGGAUUACCGCUCACCGCCAGUGACCGGACCCCUUCAUGUUUAUAUAUAUAUAUAAACAUCAUCCUACCCAUAUAUCUCUUAAUCCAAUAGCUAAAAAUCUACAGGUAUCGAUAACUUGAUACUUUUAAAAGCAUAGAAACUUAAUUAUAUAUAUAUAUAUAUAUAUAUAUAUGUAUUUAUAUUAUAUAUAAUUAGUAGUAAAUUACGUUUCAGAAUGCAGUAAUAAUAUUUAGAAAAAAGUUAUAAAUUUUUUUAAAAAUUAUUUUUUAGAAUUUAGGCCAUAUUUUUACUGAUGCAAUAUGUAACAAAAAAAAUUUUAAAUAAUAAAUCACCAUAUAAGAAAGAUAGGCUUUAAAAAUGAAUUAAACAUAAUCUAUCAAAAAUUACUUUUGAAAAUUAAAUAGAAAAUAAAAUAUGUUAGGAAUACAAAUUUUGAAAUAAUAGAAAUAAAUAAAUUUGUUCAUCUUAGAGAUGAGUGUUUGUGUGAUAUUUGAAUUAAAUAGAUAAUAUUAAAAAAGAUAUUUUAAAUAAAGAAAAAUAUCUAUUAUAGGAUUUUCAACCCGUAAUUUUAUAGAAAUUAAUUGGAAAUAAAUAAAAAUUUUAUAUUUUAGGAUUUACAUCAGUUGUAUAGAGAAUUAGGAUUUCAUUGCUUUUCUAAAUUAUUAUAGGUAUAUAGUAGUAGUGGUGUUAAGGGUGUGAUGAUGUGUGUAUCUGUUGUUAGUGUGAUGUGAUGAGUAGUUGAUUAAGUAGUGGUUUUUUCGAUUUUUUAGCCUUUUGGAUCAAGUAUGGGGGACCGUGGUGGAUAUACGAUCCCUUUGGUUGAGUGUUUCAUGAAUGGGUUAAUAUAUUAUAGUGUUGAGUGUUAUAUGUGUCUCUCAAUAGGUUGUAUGCAGAGGGGGUAAAGAAUCGGAGGCAGUAUAUCUAAUUUAUGUUUCCGAUAUAUAUAGUAUGCUCUUAGUAUAUAUAUAUAUGGGUGAGUGUGUGGUAGUGUUGAUGGUGGGGUGUAUAAUAUAUAUAUAUAUAUAGAAAAUAAAAUUUAUGAGAUCUUAAAUCGGUUAAAAUUUUAUAUAUAAUUUAACCUUUUUAUAGUUGAGUUGUACUUUUAUAUCUAGAUUGGGCUAAAAAUUAAAUAAUAAAAAGUUAUAUUAUAUAUAUAAUUAUUUAUUUAUAUAUAAAUAUAAUAUAUAUGUAUUCGAGCGGUUAUUGAGCCGAACACGAGCGAGCUGACCCUAUCUCAUAUUUGGCACGUUUAUUAAACAAACUGAAAAAUUCAGCUCGUAUCUAAUUCAUUUACUAAACGAGCGAUUCGAUCGCAAAAUCAUUUCGAGUCUACCACGAGCCGGAUCGCCACCCUGUUGUUGGUUGGUUUUUAAUUUUUCCACCCAAAACUAAACUAAAUUUUUUUAUUUAUAAAUUUUUCAAAGUGAAAACAAACUAUUUAUAGUGAAAACCGAAUCAAACCAAACCUAACCAAACCAAAACUAUUGGUUUAGUUUGGUUUGAUUUUAUGGGUUUUUAGGUUCCAUGCCUAUCACGUGUUACUCGUCUGGUAGAUGUAAAAAUAAUAAUAAUAAUAAUAACAAAUUCAUUAGAGCCAAUCAUGUCUAAUUAUAGGGGAUUUUUUUUUGUGAGCACUUAAUGGCUAGCAAAUAUAUGUGUAUAUAUAUUUUGCAAUAAUUACGUUAUUAAUAAUGCAGAUCACAUUUUAAUUAUUUAUAUUUAAUUUAAUGUUUUUAACAAGCCUUUUUAAAGUUGGAAAAUACAGGUCCGGGCCAUCAUAAUCUCGAUCCCCCGUGGCUCUUCAAUGUAACGGUUACAUAUAAUGGUUAUGAGCCUAAUUCGUGCCACGCGGUACACAGCGCGAUCCGUAUACGUAGAUCGUAUCUUGUAUAAGCAGAUCAACAGUGCAGACUAAUCAAUCGAGCCAAACACGUGGGCUAACUUGUGUUGAUCCGUUCCGCUCAUCAUUAAUUAAAAGUACAACCGAUCUCGGGCUCAUUUCGACCGUGGAUCACUGGCCUCGGCGCUACAAAUACUCCAUCCCGCCAUGCGCACGAAUCUUAAAGCAAUUUGGUCGGCGGGCUAUGCAGUCUCGUACGGUUACCGUUGCGAUCUCUGUUAAAUUUUUGUUUUGAAGAAAUUAAAACAAAAUCAGAUAAUAAGGCUACAUGAAAACAAAGAGAAUUCUACUACUCUGAGAAUAACUGUCGAAUUGCUUCGCAUAAUUUAGCAUCACAUCACAUCACAUCGGAUCAAAAAAAUUCUGAGUUUGAAUCUCACCAUGCUUGCCACAAUCAUUUGCAUGCAUAUAUCAUCAAAGUAGAAACUGCUUCUGAGAAAGCUUCUGGGCCAACAACUGAAGCUCUAUAUAAAUAUAUCCCCAGACAGAUCAAAUAGAUCAAAUAAUCACCAAAUAGAUCAAAUAAUCUUCUAUUUGAACAACACUCAUAAACCAUGUUUUCGCCAACCAGCACAAGCCUCUUUCGGAAAGAAAAAACUGCAACUAGAAUGAAAAUAACUCGAGAGAAAUUCAGAGGCAAAUCAAAUUGGAUAAAGCGGGGUCAAAUUCAAGAGGUAAGUCGAUCCAACAUAAAUAUACAAGAAAUUUUGCCCAUAUGGUCGUGCAUUCGAGAGUGACAGCAAACUCAUAUACAUCUUAAUCUGGAGCUUCUAACCCAUACAGGAUAAAAAGGAAAAAAAAGAAAAAUAAAAGAAGAAGGUAGCAUAUUAUUGUAAAUUUUAUUAGAGUAUGAGUGAGGAUGCAAAUCCUGCAAUGCGCUAUCUGAUUUUAAAGGGGGGAAGGGAAAAAGGACAUGGUUGCAUGCUUGGUAUCUGUCUUGUUCCCUCAAACAAAGCUUAUGAACAUAAUAAGAUAGUAGUGCGACCUCAAAACGCCGCCCAUCCAGAUGCUGUACUCUUCGCUGUUCCUGAUCCGGUCGUACUCGGUAGGCUUCGCUGGAAAAUCACAAAUAACUAAACGAUGAGCAAGGGCGGAAAAGGAUAAAGUCAUGACAUUACGAUACUCAAGGUGUCGUCCAACGUCGAAAGUGUGUCACAAUCCAAUUACGGAAACCCAGUAGAUAGAGAUUAACCUCUUAAAGACUAAUGAUACAUGUUUUAGCAUAUGUAUAUUUUCCUCUUUUUUUUCCGCCUCGUUUCGUGGUAUUUGAGGCUAAAGCACCUAAGGAAUGGGUUUCUUUGUUUUCUUUCUUGAGGGUUUGUUUCAGAGCACUUCGAUGGUUUUUGUUUGGAAAUGGAAGGCAUGCAGUAGUAACUUUCCUAAGUUUAAACAGCCGAAAGAGUUUGCCACAACAAUGACAAAAAUAACAAAUCCUGUUUUAAAGUUAUUUUGACGUUCAAAAAUUUAGAGCGGAAAAGAAAGCAUAACAAUGCCAAGAGAAAUGUUGUAUUAUUGGUCUCGAGCCUAAGUAAACAGGAAAUUAAUACAGAUUGUAUUAUUAACCAGAGCAUGCAAACUCGUGUGCACGCAUGAUGAAGAGAUUGCGAGAAUGGAAAAGAGAAGAAAAGAAGAAAAGGAAGGUAUAAGAUUCGCGAAGAACCUCAAUAGCCGAAAGAUCAGAGAAGGGAUCGGCACUGCGCCUUGUAGAUUCUUUUGGAGGCUUCAGUCCAGCAGUUUGUCCGGCAGUCAUCCUGGCAACUGCAGGGUCAUUAGGUGGGGGCGGGAGAGGAGUCCUAAUCUUUCCGGCUCCACCAGGAGGUGGUGCGAGAAGCCCACACCCCUUUUGCUUUCCAGCCACCGAAAGCAUGCCGCUCCCGCUAGUCGGCUUGUUCUUCACAUUUAUCCUGAUGGUUUCUCCUUCCUUGAUUAGUAGCAAUACCCAAAACAGAAAAAAAAAAACAGAAAAAGAAACAGAAAGAACGAAGAAGCAUGAUCAGAAUACAUAUAAGAAGGAUAAUAGUAGUGGGAAGAAUAGAAUGCAUUAGUUGGCAAACAAGGCUAGAAGAACAGAAGAAAUGGAAAAUUAUCACAUCAAAAAGGAAACCCUAGCUUUGUAUGUAUAAGGGAUGCAAGCAACGUGCCAUAUAUUGACAUACGAAAAGCACUUAAAGGCAGACGAAGGAGGACGAGGAACACGUCACUUCAUUAAUAAGAAAGAAAGAAAUCCUACCAUGAAAUAUCAAAACUUACUGAAGCACGUUUAGAUUUAUACCUGUAGACAAAUUAACUUGCAUGGACAAGAUAAUUUCAUCAGCAAGCACCUUUAUAUAAAGAACAAUUGGCAAACAUCACUCACCCAAUCCAUUACGAAAUAAUUCCACUAAGAAAGCACUACGCAAUAGUAUGAAAACUUAACUUAUAGAUAUAGAGUGUUAGUUUCCGAUAGCAACAAAGAGCCCAUGGACAUAUUACCCACGGCGUACAUUUUCUUAUAAGUAGAAACGAGCACAAAGUAGAAAUUUCCAUAUCAACCAAUAACCACAUGUAAAAAGGUUAAGUCAGCGUCUUUCUGAAAUUUAAACUUAAAAAGCGCAGUCCUAAUACAAAGAAGGGCGGAACAAAACAAAAGAAGCUUCUAACAUCCUAAUAGAGCAUAGUAGUUCUAAAAGGCAAAAAAUUUACAUGCCCAGCCAGAAAUAACAGUUAAAAGGCUAAAAGAUGUAACAACCUAAUAACCAGAAACACCAGUAGCAAGUAACUAGUAUGUUUUGCAAGUUUAUAAGAUUCAUCAACUGAACAAUGCUAUAUAGAGAACUUAGUGUCACUAUGUGUACUCUACCAUCAAUGUGCGUAUAGUAUAAGUACUCAUACCUUCAAUCUAUGGUUCACUGCAGGAUGGAUAUCAAUCUGUCUCUCCUCGCUCUCCUCGCCCUCCACCUCCUUCUCAUGCUCCCUCUUAACAUACUUUUCAUGGUCAGAUAGCGCGACAUUGAAAUCAAACGCUUCAUUACGCUCAUUAAACCCUAGACCGAUGAAGGCGUGCUUGCCCUGGCCAUCCUCGAUCUUGAGCACGAAGUAUCGGGACGAGUCGAGCACGGUCUCGACCGAGUUUUCGCGCUGGCCAGGGAGGACGAAGCAGGCGGCAAAGAGGUCCCCAGAGUUGGGGUCCUCAAGGCGGAUCUCACACCGCUCACCGCACGACACCACGCGGAGGCGCCCCGACCAGAUCUUGUCCGACUGGAGCCACUCGCCGCACUUAUACCCGCCGCUGGUGCUGCGGGGCGGGAUCUUGUACACCGACACCUCACGCACCACCAGAAGCGUGUGCUCGAACGCCUCCUCUUCGUCAAAGGAGGACGACAUCUUCUCGCUUAACAUUGGAGAUCAAUCUACACAAGUAUCAAAAUCUUGCAAAGUGCGAUUUAUCUCAAUUUUUUUAAAAAAAACAUUAAAUUAAACGGCAUUCCAAUGGCUUUUAAUGAGAAUCAAGAAGAUCAUAUGCAAAACAAAUAGAAAAGCUCCCGAGUGUUGCAAACCUCUUCAGAUCCUUUUCUCUACAAAUCUUGUUAAAUUUUUUUUUUUUUACUGGUAAAUCUAAAAAAGAGAUUAAUUUGCUCGACAUAAUAAUAAUCUACACCACUCUGACAACAAAAUGCGAUCACAAGAUCCGCAAAAUUGCUAUGAACUACUCAAAUCUUAACGAAGAUCUCCUGAAGCUCCCACUGGGAUCUCCCGAUCUUGGAUAUUAGCAAUCAUCAAAUUUUUUGUGAAAUGCGAUUGGAUUCGGCGAAAAAGGCCGAGAUUUAGUAAGAUUCGAUGGAUUUUGACGGGGAAAAAGCGGAUCAGAAGUGCGAAAAACGGGGAAAGAUUAGGGUUUCGUACCUUUUCGGAGAUCGGAGGAUAGAGGGUGGGGAGGGGAUCGGGGAAGAGAUUGGGAUGGGGGGAUCGGGAAGAUUUGAAGGGUUUGGAGGGGGUGUGGUGAGGUGAAAAAGGCGACGACGCGGAGACGUGGGAGCGAAGGGAGAAAUGGGGGAGGAGAGAGAGUGGGGAGGUUGGAGCGGGGUAGGAAGGGGGAGUUUUAUUACGAAAUUACCCUUCGUUAUAUAAUUUUUGUUUUAAAAAAAACUAAAAUACAUAAAACUCCAUAUAAAUAUCCAAUCUUCUUUUUUUUUUCACUUUUCUCCCUUCACUUUCAAAUAUUUAUACUUCACCUCAAAAUUUUAAUUUAUUACAUUUAGUCCCUUUCCUUAUUUAGGGAUUGGUUACUAUUCUUUCCAAUUUUUAUAUUAUAUCAAAAAUAUUCUUAGAAAUAAUAAAAAUAUAUUAAAACAUUAUUUUUUUCUUAUAGAAUAAGUAAAAAGAAUUUGAUCAUUUCGUCUUCUCCAUUGAUACUGUAAACUCCUAAAAAAGUAUUUCUAAAAUUUUAAAUGGGUAAAAACACAAAAAUUUAAAAUUCAGAAGGACAGAGUUCAAACAUGUGUAUUUAUGUGAGAAUUUUUUAUAUUUUGGCCAAAAAAAUUUGCCCUUUGAUGUUAUUUACAAAGAUUGCUAUUCUUUUCAAUCAACCAAAGGUAAAAAAGAUACACGACUCUCUAGAAGUAUGAGUUAUUUUGAGUCUGCUCUUUAAUAUUUUAAAAUUUUAAUUUUACUAUUCAAACUUUUAAUUUAUUAAAUUUGAGUUUGAGUCGGUCAAUGAAAUUUUGACUACAAAAUUUAAUUGCGUUGUUUAUUUUUACAAGUUUACUUAGCAUAUUUUAUACAAUUUUUUGUAACUAUAAAUUCAUUAAAGUAAGUAAUUAGCUUAAAUUUUGAAGUCAAAAUAUCGUUUACUAACUCAAAUCAAACAAAUUAAAAGAUUAAAAAAAUAAAAUCAAAAAUUUAAAUAGUUGGAUAGCCCAUUGAAAACAGUACUUAGUUUAGAUAGGUUCUAUAUUUUUGUUACUUAAACCAAAUUAUACUGUGUUUCCAUCAUACUCCCAACCUUUUUUCUUGUUAUUAAUUUGGGUUGUUAUAUUUUUAGAAAAAAAAUGUAAAGAUUUAAACCUACAAGAAAAUUCGAUUUGGGUUCUUUGAAUAACAAAGAACUCCCUUAGAGGAGUAUGAUUUUUUUCUUCUUUUUUUUCUAUAACCACAUAUGUUUUCGAUGGCAAUUGUUUUUGCAAUUUUAUAUCAUUGGAUGGGAAAAAAUUAUAAAAACUUUUAGAUAUUUUGGGUCUUUCAAAACAUGAAAGCAUCACAAUUUUAUAUCAUUGGAUGAGAAAAAAUUAUAAAAACUUUUAGAUAUUUUGGGUCUUUCAAAACAUGAAAGCGAUGCUUUUAACUACCACGCGUCCUUAAUAUGUGUGUGUUUAUAUAUUUCUGAACUAAGCUAUCAUACUAUUAAUAGCACCAAGUCAUUGAUGCUACUAAGUUUUAGUCUUUAGAUAAAGAGAUGUGCGGUUAAAAUAAUAGUAAUUCUUUUUAGGGUUUAGCCGAUGGUAGGCGGAAUAGUAUGAUUUAAAGGGUGAAAAGGAUCAAAAGGAUAAAUCUAAUGAUAGAAAACUUGGUAGUACCAAAUACUUAGUGCUAUUGAUAGCACAGUAGUCGGAUCUUUAUGCUGACACAUUUGGAACGGCUCUCCCUUCUUAAAUCGACGAACGUUUCGCGUGGGGCUUCGAUAUGGAGAGAGCAACGGUUGCUGAUUACGAAAGAUGAAAACGACACUUAAAUGAUGCAGUUAAAACUACAGAAUAACAAAUUAAGCCAAAAAAAAAAAAGGGUAAACGACUGGAAGUGUAUUUGAAGUUAGGCCAUGACAAAAUCACAAGAUGUAUUUUUACCAAGCCAUCAUAAACAUCAGAUUACAUAAAGUUGAUAUAGUAGCCAAAACUAGCCAACAAACAAAAAAAAACAGCAGCAUCAGACCUGAACUGAAUCAACUGUUUUUUGCACAGUUUUAGAGAACUAUCAGAACUUCUUCCUGUGUUCAGAUCUCUGCGUACUCUUGCGCGUUCGCCUUCGCAGCCCGUUUUAGUGCCCUACUCCUGAGGGGAGACGAACUAGGAGAUGUAUCGUCGAAUUGCCAACAACACCGGAACUUUCGAGAGUUUUUUCCUCCUGAAGAACAGAUCCCUCGUGGACGAGCAAGUGCUUCUCCAGCUUGUGCUGCAGCUUCUUUUCAAUCUUAACCAUGAUGUCGGCCACCGUUUCAUUCUCCUCCACCAACACCGUCAACGUCUUGCCUUCCCACGUCCUGACGAAGACCUGCACUGGAGAUAGCUGCAAUUCGAGAAGGGAGUUAUCACCGAUUUUGUGAUCAUACAAAGUAAGAUUCUCCCGAAGCAACUUUCCACUAUAGUAAAGUCUCUUGUUCUGUGUAGGAACACUCGCCAAGUUUUCGAUCAUCAAUUUAACGUCCGCGAUGCUAUACCAGCUUCUCGCAUGAAGUUUUAUGGUUUUGGUAGGCAUAAUCGCGACAAAGAUAUGCAGCUCAUCUGUCGGGCACAAUAUUACAUGAAGUGUCGCGUUUUCUUUUACACCGCAUGCAAUUAAUAUUUGGUGAUCCUCGAGAAAUUCGCCUAAGUACAUGACCUUUUGUAGUUUUGAAGGGACUCCUUCCUUUUCACGGAUUGCCAUCUUUACGCUAAGGAUCGUAUCUGAUUUCCUCACAUUCAACUCGAUCGUCUUCUCUCUCGAUGGUAUUCUGACAAAUAUCUGCAUUCCGUCGAUGACGUACAGGUUGAUAGUGGAGUUCAGCGGGAUGUUGUAAUCUGCAAGCGUCUUAUCCCCCUCCAAGUGAGUGCCAGCGAAAAAUAACUCCUGCUGCCUUGCGCCAAUUCUCUCCGCAGCACAAACCUUUUCUUUGAUGUCAUUGAUUGUGCUCGUGCCGUCGACAUCUACAGAAACUAUUUUCAUCCACCUCAGAAAGAUCUACAAUUCAGCACUAAAGAUCAUCAGGAUGAGCAAACAACUGAAAGAAGAAACAAAGAGAGAUUUGAAACUGCACUGAAAUUGCACAAAAUGACAUCUUUCCUUUCAUACAGAAUUACCAGAAAUGAUGGUACGUAUAUCGCGAAUAUAGACCCUCUAGCAUUCGGCUUCUCACCGUAAGAUUAGAGUGUGAAAUUUUCACAAUCAGUGUUUAUGACACCACUAGAUAUGUCUUUUAUAUUGCUUUGUCAAAAAUCAAUAUAGCUUUAUAGAUAAUCAUCCUUUAGUGUACAAUUUACUUGGCCAACAACUUGUAGGACGUGUUUGGUUCGAUGUCGGUGUCGGAAUCGGAAUCAAAAUAAGCUGGAAUCGGAAUCGAAAUGACUCAUUACCUAAUUUUGUUUGGUUCAUCCCCUGAAUCGGAAUCGGAAUAACUCAUUGUCAUUACCGGUGUUUGGUUAUGGUGGAUAUAAAAAAUGUAAUCAAAUUAAUAUGCUAACAUUAUCUUUAUAAUGUUACACUCAGAAAUCGAAUCGAAAUGAGACUCCCGCGUACCAAACAUCCACAAACGGAUUCACCCAUUCCGAUUCCGAUUCCGAUUCCAGGGUGAAAAAGAAUCCGAUUCCAGGGUGAAAAAGAGGCGAACCAAACACGCCCGUAGUGUUAGUGAAUCCAAUCAAGCAUUUACAAUUUAUUCUUUUAAAAGGGCAAUCAAUUGUAACAAGAUCGUCCAAGAAAGAUCUCAUUUAUUAAUUCCAAAAAUGCAAGAACAAAAAACAUAACCAUGUUUAAACAUUAAAGAUCUAUUAUCACAACUGUUAAAUAUAUUUCUGGUCCGUUUUUUAUUACAUCCAUUCUUAACCAUACAACACGAACUAAAUAAUUGCAUCCAUGUGUUCAAAGAAGAAACCGGAACCUUAGAGGGUUUGGUGGAUUCCGUGGCGCUCCCAUCAUCGGAGUUCGAGCUGUGCGUAUCCUCCGUCGCAGUUGCUUCAGAGGAUCCCCAACUCAUUUUGUUCACCAAUUUCCGAUGGAGAGAGAGAGAGAGAGAGAGAGGGGGCGAUUUUAAGUAAGAAGAUUAUAGUUAAUGCCAAAGCCCUUUGAUCGGACGCCUUUUUCUUUUUCUUUUUCGGAAAGAAAAGAAAAAGGAUGUACAGAGAAAAUCAACAUUUCUAUUUUUGAAAUAAAUAUUUAAAAUCCUGAUUGAAUGCAUGAAUAUUUUAUUCAAAAUAUUUUUAUAAUUAAAUAAUAUUGGAUUGAUGGAAUGUCUGAUUAAAUGUCUGAGUUGGAUACUUUAUUUAGCGUUUGCGGCAGGUACUAACCAUGUGCGUCAAAACAUUUUAAAAAGCAAAAAAACCAAACUUCUUUCCAUUGGACUAAUAUAUUAUCACACAAGAUAAAAUUAUUAUUGGAUAAGUUACUCAGACAUCCAAGCAUGAAGCAAAUUUUGUUUAUUUUGUUAAUUAGAUCCCUCUACUUCAUCAAAUAGUCCGAUAGGUCUCUUUUCUCAGAUCGAAAUUACUCAUCGCAUAUUCAUUUUGGUUGCAGGUCUUGCAUUCGGAGAUCACGCAUUAUGCGCAAUCUACUUCAAGUUUACCAAACAUGCCCUAAGAAGCAGUUUCUUGAGAUUUCAACACCUAAUAUUGGCACUUGAUAGACACACUUUUAAGCUUCACCUUGAGCAGUAAUAUAAAUGCACUCCUGCGUAUUAGAGCUGUAAAACUACAGGUCAAGUACAAGCAUCGAGAAGUGAAUAAUUGAGGUUUCAUUACACAAAGGUAUUGCCCAUUGAAACUUAAAAUCGAAGAGAAGAGAAGAGAGGAGAGCUGCCGAACCCAUCACUUGAGAAGAGAUCUCGCGAGGUGCUCCCUUGCUGUAGCUAGAGCUUGCGAGAUUGUCUGGUAGUAGAAAGAUUCCGUAAGAAUCAUUAAAUCUAUAAUUUGUACGAAUUAUCGACUGAGGCCAAGUUUAGAAACGCAUUUCCUAAAUGAAAACCUGAAGCAGUUUGGAGCUCUGCUCCAGGUUCCAACCGCCAUUCUAUUAGCAGAGGAGGAGCAGAAAUUGAAAUUUAAGGCGCUUUUCGGAUUUUUUUUUGGAUAGCUUUAAAGCAUCAAAGCAGAGCCAUACUGCCAUUAGGAGAACACAUCACAAACAAGGCCUGGGGAUGAAUACGGGAAUUACCUGCUCCGAAAAGGGAACAGCACCGUCAACGGCAUUAGUCGCGACUUUUCCGGCAAUGACAUUUGCAUCUGUUUCCAAGAUUAUCCUGCAAUAAUGCAAAGAAUGCGGGAAUGCUAAGGACAUAUGCAUACUGCAAGUUCCAACAUGGGCGCCCGAGAAUUGAUUAUUCUGACAUCCUUUUUUAAGUACUUAUGUAUAGCAAUUAAAUUACAAUUAAUUCGAGCCCUGACUUCACCACAACACUGCGCGAAAAUAUGGCUAUAGGUUAUUGUACAGAGCUAAGCUUGAUCAGAAUGAGAGAGUCAAAUCCUUACUGUUGAGGUAAAUCUAACAAUUCUAACUACAAGGUACUUCGAGCUUGGUGAGAGCUUUUCUAGUUUGCAUUUUGAGAUAAUCUUCAGUUACCAUCAUAGAUAUUUUAUUAGUUUAACCUUUAUCUUAUAUUGGUAAAGUUAACGCUUAACAGACUAGAGUAUAAAUUUGAUUUAUGAAGUAAACGAAAACUAUAGAAUCUAUACCCGCCAUCAGCAAUUUCAUCAAUGCAAAGAAGAAUCAGGUCCAAGUUCUCAAGUGCAGUCCUCUUCUCAACAUCAUUCCUGAGCAAAGGAAAUGCACAUUAAGAAAAACAGCUAAGUACUGAACGAAAUUGAGAGAAGGGGGAAAAAAGAAGAGAAAGAAAGAGCGCGAGACCUCAGGAGAAGGGUAACAGCAUCAUAGAAACCCUGAAGAACACUCGCCAAGAUGAGUUCAUUCUCAUCAUCACCCGCAGUAACAAAGAAGUGCAGGUCGUGAAUAAACUUGUAGACAACGAGAUAACCGUCAAACAUUGUUAUCUCAGCUGCAAAAGAACAAUGGUACUUGGUCGUUAGGGUUCACAAAUUUCCGUUCGGCUGUAGAUGGUAAAGCUUCAUUCUUUGUUUAAAAAGAAGCUGAUUGAAAAGGUUAGGACCUUGAAGGCUUGAACCAACAAGUUCAUGACACACAUUGGGCCAAAAGACUUAAUUGACCAUAUUUACAGCAUAAGAAAAUCUAAGGAAUAGAUAAGACUUUAAGAAGUUUCAGUAUUAAAUGAAGUGAGAAAAACAGAGUUCCAUAUGAUCAGCCAUCUAAAAGUAUCAUACAUUCAUGAAUGAACUAAUGAGUCUCUUGGUUUGAGUUGCCUUUUCCAAUGUUAUUGAUGCAAUCAAAGAUACAUUCACCUGAUAGAAAUUAUGUAAUCAAAGAUCACCUCUGCCUAGGAAUUCGUAGUGUGAUUGAUCAUCACAAAGUUUACAUCAAGCUUCCAUUCUAUUGUGCAAUCAUAGCUUGUUGUUAUAUGUGCAUAGAGAACAAUUCAUCUACCACAUCCAUAUAUCCAAUAUCCUAGAUGAACACUCACACUUUACUGUACGCAAUAAAUAUAAAACAAGUUGAAGACAAUCAGAGACAGAUAAAGAAUGAUUUAUACAUGCAUGAAAACAUGUGUGCAUAUAUGCAUGCGUACAUUUUAAACUGAACAUAGGGAAUCAUGGAUACUUCGCACAGGCAUACAUGCAGAGAGUAAUGGCUUUCAUGUAAACGACAAAAUAAUAAAUGCACAUAAAACUGAAUCUCUACCCAAAUCAUAAAUGCAUCACCUUCCGUGCGUGCAUUUGUCUUCAAAGUCUUUGUGAAGACAGACUUCUCAAAGGCCAACUUUGCAGCAUGAGUAGGCCAAUCAUCUGAAAAGUACUUGACAGCCACACGCUUCCCCUCUGAAUCCAGAAGUAAAAUGUUCUUCACGGAAGGGCAAGAGUCCUAGAAAGAAAAGAUGGUUCCGUAAUCUUCAUAAAGGACAAAUGAAGGAGAUAUAUAAAACAUAUACAUAUGAAUGAGCAGUAGUGAAACAUGAUAAGUUUAAACAAUAGGAGAUCAAACCCCCUAAAACUACCAUCAACCACAUUACUUCUAAAUGUUGCUCUAUUAUAUGAUCAAAACAACGCAGUCUGCUAGAGAAGCUCAAAAUCAAGUGAAUCAGAGAGAAAGUAGGCCACACAUAAGAGAAAAGCACAGGAAUUAAAGUAAGGUGAUUAGGAUGUCUUUCAUUCACUUCGUCCUUUCAAUCCACACAAUCAAACCAAAUUACGAUGUGAAUAGCUGGCAUCCAACCUCCCUAGACAUUCUUCUACAAGGCCCCUUAUAGAAUUUCUGUUCCGUAAAACAACCUUUGCAUUGUUGCUGUCCUACGUAAACUCAGAUUUAUUACAAGGACUCAAAAGGAAAAAUAUUAACAGGCUUACGAAGUAAUGUGACAGAAUAAAUAACUAUAUCUGCAACCAACAUUGAAAUAAGUCCUACAUUCUAGUAGAGUGACAAAUUACAUCUUAUAAAGCACAAAGUCUCUGAUAUUAAAGCCCUUCAUAUCCCAUAUAUCUGGGAAUGUUCUAGUGGAUAGAAUUGUCAAAUCAAUUGCUAUAGCUAGUUUCCUCAAAUUAGUCCUGUAUAAACCUGUAUCCCAGUUUAGUAAUUUAUACACUUCAGUUCUAUGAGAAGUAGAUAAGAAUGUACAGGAACCCUCAGCCUUAACAUUUGGCAUUUUGAAUUCGAUCUCUCAAUUAUUUUUCUUUUGAUUGACACACUCUUAAUUGUUAUUUUAUUGAAUUAAGUUAUUUCAAAAAAUAAAUUGGAGAUUGUUUUUAAAUCCAAUACUGAUUCAGUUAAAUUUAACUGUUUUGAAUGUUUUUUUCCUGCUGAUGAAGCUCGGAUUUCAGGCUGAUAAAGAAUGAAACCAUUAAUUUUACCGAAUCCCCAAUACUAUUUAGGAAAAUGACUCAGAUCCAAGCAAUUAAAAGUUGAAGGGGUGUCAAUCAAAAAAAAGUUGGAAGGCCACUUCCAAAAUGGCCUAUGAUUGAGGUAGUCUCCUAAGAAGUAAAAUCCAAGGAACCAAGCAUCAGAAUGCUAGAGAAAUAUACAAUUAGAGGAAGCAGAAAAAAAAAUAUGCAAAAAGUUCAAAUCGACCAACCUUUGAGUAGUCUCUGAAUUCAUGGCCCAUGAUCUUCGAUUCUGGCAUGGAUAAUAGAAACAAAAUGAGAAAUAUCAGCAUCAGAAUCCAACAUAAUAAAUCUAGAUCGCAUCAAAAGUUAGCAUCACAAUGAGCAAUUUUAGCAUGAUUACAGAAACAUAUGACAAAAAUCAGCAUCAGAAUCCAACAUACCAAACCUAAACUACAUCAAAACUUAUCAUCAUAGUGACAAAAAAUAGCAUCAUUACAGAAACAAAUGCUAAAAAUCAGCAUCAGAAUCCAACAUCGUAACCUCUAAAUAGAUCAAAACCUUACAUUAAAGCACCCAUUACUCCAAUCCACCAAACUACACCCUAUAGAUCGAAACCAAACAACCACCACUGGUGGAGAUCCAACGAGUUAGUUCAAACAGAUCUAGAAAGGCAUCAUAAUUCGAGAGGAAAUAGAUCCGAAAAUCGGAAGCAAGUUAAGAAAAGGAUCGGAACAAAUUCGAAGAUCCAAAGCUAUAAAGAGGUGGAUUCGAGUGCGAAAUGGGGAGAGGGUGAGAGGUUGGUACGUACGAGCGAAUCUAGGGUUCCGCGAGAUCUGAUCCCGAAGCCUUCCGAGCAAGAGAGUUUGAGCGAGAGAGAGAUGGAGGGAGGAGAGAGGGAGGGUAUUAUGUGGGCUACAUGGACCCGUGGACCCGGUUAUGCGGUUUUCGGGAAAAUUUUAUGCUAAACCUGUAGACCAGGUCCAGUAGAGCACUGAACUUGCUGUAUCACUGUAUGUUGUGUAAAUUGCAUUCCUAGUCCCUAGCUUUGUUCGAUUGAGAUCUCAGUCCCUACUUCAUGAUCGAUGGUGGCGGGUUAUUGCCUAUGUACAUGUCUACUACUAUUUGACACGUACAUAAAACCGUUAUAAUGAAAAGAAACAAUUUUUUUAAAAAAAUGAAUAAUUUAUAAUGUAUUACAUAUUACACGUUUCUUUCAAGUCUCGUAUUUUUAGAAUAAAACAAAAUUUUACUUUAAAAUUUAAGAGUUUUUGUACCUUGGAGUCUUGGAUAGUGUUGUUGUAUUGCAACACGAGUAAAUACUCGAAGAGUUCUAAGACAUGCUCUAAAACUUAUCAGACGCAAAAAAAACACAAGUUAAAAGCCCUUUGUGCUUCAAUGAAGAGGAAGACGACGGCGAUGACGACGACUUAGCAAACAAAAAAGAUGGGCACAUUCCAUGCAAUUGUAUGCGCGGGAAAUAAGUUUCUCCAUCCUUUAAUUAAACAAAAACAGAUCAAGCACAAAUAGCCUAAGGUUUGUUCUGCGCAACUGCAGAUCAAAUGAAAAGCUGAAGAAUUGGAGCAAGAAGUACAAGAUAGGUGGUAAACGAAUAAAGCCACCUUCGAGAAAAAUACAUGUGUAAGUGUGUAGCUUCGCAAUGAACAAAAUGCGAAUGCAGAGCAAACACUCGCGGAAGACGUAGGUUGCUCAAAAUUUGUACCCCAAUACUUUAUUAUAAACCUAUCUCAAGAUUUCAGUAGAUCUAAAAAAGCAAAAUUCCAAUGCCAAAUUUCACAGUUGUUGCUCCAGUAAUCUAAACACUGCGAUGGAUUUCCUUUAUAUAUAUAAAAAAGAAUGUCGAGAACAAUGUCACUGGGAGAGAGUUCCCGCAGCUUCCACAGCUUUCUCCGCUGCAUCGUCCAAAUCUUCUGCGGUGAUCAAGGUCAUUCCGCUUUCCUGCACGACAAGGAUAAUUAAGAUAGGUGAGCUUUGUUGUUUAAUAAGAGGAACAAGAUACCGUACCGUAUCGGACGGCUCCAUACCUUAAGAAUUCUUUUCCCUUGUUCAACAUUAGUGCCUUCCAAGCGAACGAUCACAGGUACUUUCAAUGAAACCUGAGAAAUAAAAUUAGCGUUAGUUGGCACCUCGAUCUCCGACCUUUUCCCGAUAUGUACUAUGCAUGCGAAAUUACGAACAUGUUUAGCUGCAUUGACUAUUCCACUUGCUAUCACAUCACAUUUCAUGAUUCCGCCAAAAAUGUUCACCAAAAUUGCCUUAACUUUGUCAUCCGAUGUCAGUAUCUUAAAUGCUUCCACCACCUGAGCAGAGAUAUUGCCAUAAAAAAGAUAUCAUACAUUCAUACAUAAAAAAAAUCUGAGGCAUAUAGCAGUGCGAUCCAAAGUAAAUCUUCUUAUAAAGAAUCUAUUAUCAAUGUAGUUUCUUUACAUGAUAAUUUUCAAUCAACAUUAAACAUAGUUAUUUUAUAUAACACUUUGUUAAACAACAAUGCUUCUAAAUGACAUUAGAUCUUGAAAUGAAACAUAUACCUGGCCUUCAGAUGCGUUGCCACCAACAUCAAGAAAAUUCGCAGGUGUCCCUCCAUGCAAUUUUAUAAUGUCCAUUGUAGCCAUGGCUAGACCCGCACCAUUCACCAUGCAACCAAUUUCCCCAUCCAACCCAAUAUAAUUCAAAUCUGCCUUGGCAGCAGCGACCUGGAAAAGCGAGGGACUAAGAACGAAUAUAUGAAUGGUAAAUAAAGACAACUCGACAUCGAGUCAUUCAGAAACUAAUGUAGAAACUUCAAUGUCAGACGUUCAAAGAAAGUCUGGUUCAUCAGCUUCAAUAGUCAGGCAUAAAAGUACAAAGCCAAUAGCAAAUCCAUGUUUAGCCCUUUAUGAAAGAACAAGAGUCAACUUAGUACAUCAUGCAUGCAGUAAAUCCAAGUGGAAUCGCUUAUGUGAAAUCAGAGAGAGAGAGAGAGAGAGAGAGAGAGAGAGAGAGCUCACUGUCAUAAAUAUUGUAUUUAAUGUAAUGUAUCAGUUAAAAUACUGUUUCAAUCACCAUUCAAACUACAUUCGAAAACGUUUGUUUACUUGAAGCUAUCAAUCUCCACCUUUAGUCACCCUUCUCUAGAUACUUGUCAAGUCAAUAUAUAUAUAUAUAUAUAUUAAGAUACAAAUAAUUUAAGAAGAGACAUAAAGCUAAUAUAAAAUACUACUAUUCUCAAAAAGUUAUAAUCUGUUACCUUAAUAACAUUUUGUAUUAAAGGUAUCUCCCAUUGUAUUAUUGAUAUAAAUAGGUAUCCCUCGCAAAUUUAGCAAACCAGAAUGUAUACAAAUAUCAAGAACCUAACAUAAUUUCUCUCUUUGACCAUGAUGCAACCUAAUGAACUGAGAAGAGCUCUAGGGAAUUACAUGAAAUAACAAAUAUGCUGUUUGGAUAUAGUAAUAAGGGACAGUGCGUUUCACAAAUGCAGGAGAAAGUAAGAGCUUAUAUGCAAAAGUCCGAACGAAAAUCAUAACAAUGCAAUACUUCUCUGGGGUCUUCUUGAGUUGGAUCACGAAGAGCAAAUAUCUCCUUCUGCCUAAAAGCAGCAUUAUCAUCAAAGUUCAACUUUGCAUCAGCUGCUACAAGCUGCUUAUCAGAUGUCUCAGCCAUCGGAUUUAUCUGGGAAAAAGAAAGAUUAGGAACAAAAAUAAAAGUUCAUACAAGCAUACGGUAGAUGCACCAAAAGUUGAAUAGGUCCUUGACUGCAUACCUCUAAUAAUGUGCAGUCACAUUUGCAGAAAAGUUCAUACAGCUUUUUCACUUGUUCUAUACAAGCAUUUCUGUCAGCUACCUUAGGUGCCAAACCAUCAACAACUUUAGCAGCAUCUUCAUCUGUGAUUCCCUUGAAAACAUCAACAGGAACCUAGCAAUUGAAAGAUAUAUAAGUUAGGAAGGCAGUUUAUACAGCUGUUAAGCAACUACCAAUCAAUUCAACUUGCAACCCAUGCUAGGAAUAUGUGGGCAGAUAGAAAAGAAAUAAAGAUGACCUUAAUGAUCAUAUCAGGGUACUUUUCUGCAAGGUCUUCAAUGCUAGUUCCUCCCUUGCUGCAAGCUAUAAUGAGCUGAAAAAAAAAGAAUGAUGACUCAGAAAAGUACUUGGCUAUAAUGCUAAGGAAGAGCGACUCAAAAUCUACCAAACAGAUAAUGAAUUACAUCAAAAGAAAAAGAAUAUGCAUCUGAUUCCCGCGAAUAUUUCAGCCAUGUCUAUGACCACAUAAAUGUGUGAAUCAUAUACUAAGAUGAACAUAACUGUGAAAAGCAGCAUUUACUCUGUCUAAAAGUAUGUCUAAAGGUGAACAAUAUACUAAGAUGGACAUAACUGUGAAGAGCAACAUUUACUCUGUGUAAAAACAUGUCUAAAACCAUAAAUUAUGAUAGAAGGGAGUAAUAUUAUGAUAGAUGGGAGGAAAUAAGAAAUUGGGGAACCUUGAAAACUACUAAUUUCUUCCUGAUAAAAGUCACUUGAGGGUUGAAAGUUGGCUGCAAACUUAGGCCAUUCUUUCAAAAGCACUGGGGAACUUAGAAAACCACUAAUUUUCUCCUGGUAAAAGUCACUUGAGGGUUGAAAGUUGGCUGCAAAAUUAGGUUAUUCUUUCAAAAUCUUUCACAAGUUCUAAUAGUGUUUUGGCCAUCACAUAGUGAAAGAGAAGGUAGUGACAAUGUGGAUGGUCUAGUGGCUCUACCUUAAAGCAGAUCUUAAUAAAAGCAAACCCCCUACUUUCAUACGGAAAGACUGAGAUAUAAGUACAUACAUGAUGUUCCAUGAGCAGAAAAAUGACAACAAAUUAUGAAAGAUAAUACAGGAACAAAACAGAAGCUUAAUUACACUCAUGCAAAGUCAGAAAAGAAUUGAAAGUAAGCAUGUUGUCUUUUAAGUAACAUGAGAUUGCAAGUAAUAAAAAAAAAAAGCUAUUGGAUUUAAAACGUACUGGACCAGCAGUUUUCCGAUCAAGCGUAAUAGCAAAGUACAUCUCAUUAACAAGUGACAGCUUCUGACACAAGUAAACCUGUAAAAAGCCAAAUGAACAAAAUGUAGCAUUUCCCACACCAAAAAAUGAUUUUUUUAAAAAAGGAUAUGAUAAGAAACAUAAACAAGAAGCAACUACAAUCCAGCAAACUUACAUGUCAAAAACUGAAAUUGAGGUGAAAACAUAAUGGAAUAGCAUAUAAGAUAAAGUAUGAAAACCUCACAGGAUCCAAAUCAACUACUUACAAGCACAAUCAAGAACUAUACAACAAUUUCACCAUCUCUAAGAGAAUACAAGGAUAAUGGUUUCAGCUAAAUAUCAAAAAAUGAAAAAGGAAGGAAAGGAGAGAAAGGUAGACAAAAUAAGAAUUCUAUCUGGAAAAACUACUUAAUAGAAUAACAGUCGUGUAUGACGGAUUGAAAAAUGUGCAAGUUGCUAACCAAAUUAUGAACGCACCAAAAAAAGAACACAAGAGCUAAAUCUGGUCGUAAGUUAGGAUGUCAAUGGGUAUGGAUACCCAAAAUAUUAUCCGAACCCGAACCCGAACCCGAACGAGAUGGGUUUACCUGAGCUAAACGAAUAUGGAUUCAAUUAUGGGUAUAGAAAAUAAAAACCUGACGGAUAUGGAUACGGGUAUGGAUUUUAUAUUUACCCGACCCAAACCUGAACCCGAAUAAAUUAUAUAACAUUUUGAUAUCUAGAGAUUGUAUUAGAUAUUUAAAGAAUGUAUUGUUGUCUUUAACUAUUUGAAUUUGCGCUUUUCUUAUCUAGAUAUUGAUAUUGUAUGGCAUGAAUGUUUUAAUGUUGUAUUUGAUUGUGUUUUGAAAUUUUAUUUUGAAAAUUUUGACUAUAAUAUAUUUUGAAAUAUGAUAAAGAGAAAUCAUUAUUUCGGGUUCGGGUUUUCAGGUUCGGGUUCGGGUUUCGGAUUUUUGGUCAGGUUCGGAUAUGGGUAUGGAUUUUUAAAACCCGCCAGGUUUGGGUCCGAGUUCGGGUUUUAAUAUGGUUUUCGGGUUCGGGUUUUUGAAAACCCGACCCAAACCCGACCCGUUGACAUCCCUACUCGUAAGUCACUGUAUGCUAUGACUCAAAUUAAAACAUAAAAAGGGUUCCAGAAACUUAGGCUCUCCAUAUGAGCACAAUUUAUUACAGAACAUACAAAAAAAGAAAACAUUAGUUAUUAGCACAGGCUAACUUAGUUACAGAGAAACCUCAUCGAUAAAUACAGAAUGUUCUCAAGAGUAUUGAUCCUCACCUUGCUCACAACCUUCCCUUGCGGACCUGUUUGCUUGGUGACAAGAAUCUGGCCCAGCAUUUUACCUGUAAAAAUAAAUGAAAGAGUUCAAUUAACCAAAUGGGCCAUAGUUUUCAUUCUACCAACAAAACACUCAGCUAAUCUUGCAUGAUUCCUUUAUUGUAAUAAAUUCCUUAAAAGGAAAUAUUUUACAUCCCCAAGUUGAGAACAUAGAACUUCCAACUUUACAUAUCUAAACAUCAAAAUUUGACCAAAAAAUAGGGGGAAAAAAAUGAAUACAAUAAAAACAUCCCCUAACCUGCUAGAUCUUCCACCUCCUCAGUCUUAACAAUAUGCACUCCACCCUUCAGUCCACUUUUGAAGGUUCCCAAUCCUCUUCCACCAGCAAGAAUUUGGCUCUUCACAACAACCUGCAGCAUAGAUAAUGGAAGAUAUUUUAAUACAAUGAAAAUUGACAGCAUAAUCAGCUGUGAAAUAGGAAAAGAAGAACAGAAAUGAUAUUGACGAAAGAAGAACUACUAGGGGAACAAAGUGUUUCAACUAAAGGUGCAUUUAGUUGGAGGUGAGGAGUAGAUACUGAAGAAGAUUACCUCAUUUUCGUUAGGGAAGAAGCUUUUGAUAGUAUCCUUAACCUCAUCGACAGAAGAAACGGCCACUCCCUUCGGAACAUUUAUCCCAUACUUGCUCAUCAAUUCAGCACCCUGCGGCAAAAGCAUUAUGAAUCAAAACAAAAAUGAACUAUAUCCCAACUAUUUUUUCAGAUGUGAUUUAUUUCCCUAAAUUGAAUCAGCGAUUCGUCAAAUCUAACAGCUCCAUUACUUAUUAUUCAUUAACAACAAAAUCCACAAUUCUCUUCAGCUGAAGAAGUGUUCAUAACAGUUAAGAUUAAUAAAAUUGCUAUAAAAUUUAACAAAUCACCCAAUCUAAUUAAUGAAGAAUACCUUAAAUCAGCCAAUUCAAAGAACAAUAGUUAAGAUGCUUAUUUCAAAAUAGCUUACAGUACAUUUUAAUCUAUAUUUAUUCAGCAACUACCACCAAAAACAAUCAAAAUUAGCAAAUUCGUUAAGAGAUCGGAUCAAAUGAAAACGAAAAUCUCUUAGACAAAUCACACUUUAUUUUCUCUUCAGAAACUUCAUCAAAUCCGAUCAAAACAAAGAACAAUUAGGUUAGGGGAAAAAAAACAAAAAAGUGCAUGGAAUCAAGACCUGGUACUCAUGGAUGUUGAGGCGCCGCAGCUGUUGCUGUUGCCAUUUCCCCGCAAGCGAGAGAGAUCGGCUCACGAGCCUCCCAAUUGAUCCCCUCACCAUCGCCCUAGCAAGAUCAACAACAAAUUCGAUCAGAAACCCAAACCCUAGGGAGCAAGGAAAGGACAAUAGAUCCGAUCGGAAACCCAAAUCCUAGAGAGCAAGGAAAAGACAUGUACCUCGUCGACUAACACUAGUUUUCUGUCUCUAGGCACUUCCCCGUUUUCGCUCUCUUUUCUCACUCUACCUCUGUAGAAUUUUUUAUUUUUUGGACCACGAAAUAAAUAGCAAAUAUUUUUCUCUUUGGGCUCCAAAAACAUGUAGGUGAUAAAAACGUAUUAGGGCGUAUUAAUAUUAACUAAGUGCACGUGCAAUGCACAUUGUAUAAAAUAUUAAAAAUAUACAACGUCCAAGGAGGACGACAUCUUCUCGCUUAACAUUGGAGAUCAAACUACACAAGUAUCAAAAUCAUAAGAGGUGCGAUUUAUCUCAAUUUACUAAACCUUAAAUUAAAGGGCAUUCCAAUGGCUUUUAAUGAGAAUCAAGAAGAUCAUAUGCAAGACAAAUUGAAAAGUUCCCGAGUGUUGGAAACCUCUUCAGAUCCUUUUCUCUACAAAUCUUUCUUUUUCUUUUUUUACUGGUAAAUCUUAAAACAGAAAAGAUUAAUUUGCUCGACAUAAAAAUAAUCUACACCUCUCCAACAACAAAAUGCGAUCACAACAUCUGCAAAAUUGUUAUGAACUACUCAAAUCUUAACGAAGAUCUCCUGAAGCACCCACUGGGAUUUCCCGAUGUUGGAUAUGAACAAACAUCAAUUUUUUUGUUAAAUACGAUUGGAUUCGGCGAAAAGGGCCGAGAUAUAGUGAGAUUUGAUGGAUUUUGAGGGGGGGAGGUGGGGAAUUAGGGUUUCGUACCUUUUUGGAGAUCGGAGGAGAGACGGGGAGGGGAUCGGGGAAGAGAUUGGGGGGCGCUGAUGCGAAAAGGGAUCAGGGGAUCGGAGAGAUUUGAAGGGUUUGGAUUGGGGUGGGGGGUGUGGGUGUGUGGAAAAGGCGACGGCGCGGAGAAAGUUGGAGCCAAGGGAGAAACGGGGAGGAGAGAAUGGGGAGGUUGGAGCGGGGUAGGGACGAGGAGUUCGAUGACGAAGUUACCCUUCGCUAUUAAAAAAAAAAAAAAAAAACCAAAAUACAUAAAAACUCUAUUUGAAUGCUUUUUUUUUUUUUUGCUCACUUUCAAAAACACACUUUUUUCUUCUUUUUUUUUUUAAGGGACGACUGUUUGAGUUCACCAAAAGUGUAGUAUCGAAAGUGAUACUUUUAAAAGUAACGUCUUAUAGAUUAUUUGGUUUACGAAAGUGGAAUAUAAAAAGUCACUUUACGAAAGUGCUGAAUAAAGUAGUUAUAAACUAAAAUCUCACUUUUUACUUCGGCUCAUAAAAAAUUCGGAAGUCACCGAAAGUGGAGAGCUUAGCUAAGAGAUUAUAUUUGGUCUUAACUUUAAUAUUUAAUUUAUUUUUAAAGUUUAAUUUUACUUUAAAUAUUGAAUUAAAUUAUGAUAUAUAUUUGAAUUUUAUUUGUGAAAUAAAAUUCAAUAUAAAUUUAAAUUCAAAUUUAAUAAACUUUAUAUUUAAAUUUAAAUUUUAAAUUUUAUUUAAAGUUGAAUUCUAGAAUUUAAAUUUAAAUCUUAAAUUUUACAUUUUAAUCAAAUUAUUUUUAGUUAAGAACUUCAAUUUGAAAUUUGAAUUCAAAUUAUUCCAAAUAUAAUUUCAAAUUAUUAAAUAAAAUUUAAAUUUAAAAUUUAAAUUUUCAAGUUAAAAUUCAAAUUUAAAUUUAAAUUUGUUAUCUACAUUUAACUUCAAUAAUGAGUUUCAGUCUGAAUUUGAAUUCAAAUUAUGAAUUUAAAUGUUCGAUUCGAAUUGUGAUUUAAACUCAUAUUUUAAUUUAAAUUUAAAUAUUAAUUUAAAUUGUGAAUUCAUAUUUGAAUCCAGAAUUUAAGAUCAAUGAGUGAAUUAAUAUAUGAUUCAAAUUAUAAAUUCAAAUUUGAAUAAAUGUUCUAAUUUUUGUGUUGAACUUUUAUUUUAAAAUUUAAUUUCACUUAUAAGUUAUAACUUAAAUUUUAAAUUCAAAUUGUAAAUUAAAUUUAUAUUUUAAAUUUUAAUUAUAAAUUCAACUGAGAUUUACUUUUAAAUUUAAAUUUUAAAAUAUAACUUUGAAUUCUAAAUAUUAAUUUAAAUUUAUAUUUUUAAUUUAAAUUACAAGUAUAAGUAGUUUGUUUAUAUUUUUACCUUUUUGUAUAUAAUUUAAUAAUAAAAAAAAUAUAAAAUUAUAGUUUUAAUUUUUACUUUAUAACAACCAAACAAUCGAACUGAAAAGUCACUUUUAUAAAAGUCACUUUUUCUAAUUCGCCGACUUUCAAGUAACCAAGCAUCCCCUAAAAUUUUUUUAAGGUUAUAAUAUAAUAGCCAGACUCUCUCAAUCUAUAUAUAUAUAUAUAUAUAGAGAGAGAGAGAGAACUAGGCUGGAAUACUAUAAAAUAGAACUAAUGACUUUGUGCUAUUAAAUUUUCUACCUUUGAAUUAAAAGAUGUGUGGUUAGAAUGAUGUGGUGGUUAGUUGAAUAGUAUAUUCGAACGGUUAAAAAUGAUAAAAAAGGUAAAUCUAACGGUAGAAAACUUGAUAGCACCAAAUACCUCGUGCUAUCGAUAAUAUCCCAGCCAGACUCUAUAUAUAUAUAUAUAUAUAUUUAAAGUUAAGCUAAAAUACUCUUAAAAGCACCAAGAGGUUGGCGCUUUUGAGUUUUUAACCUUUGGAUGGAGAAAUGUAAGGUUGGGAUGAUGAUGGUUGGUGGUGGUAUGUGGAAUAGUGUUUGAUUUAAGAGCUCUUAGUAAUUAAGAAGUAGAUCCAAGGGCUAAAAAUCUAGAAACACCGAAGGAGUGAUACUUCUAAAAGUAUUCUAACUCAAUUAUAUAUAUAUAUAUAUAAUAAUAAUAAUAAUAAUAAUAAUAUAGGGUUACUUGCAUACACAUCCCUGCAAACAUAGUGAAUUACAGAAAUAUCCCUGCAAAAUGGAAAUUCCAUAAGUUAUCCCUACAAAAGUCUUAAGUUAUGCAGAUAUGUCCCUACCGUUAAGGUCUGUUAAAAAAUUUCGUUAACCACAGUUAAAAACUUAAUCAUGGUUAAUUAAUAACGUAAAUUGACGGUUUUACCUUUCUUCCUCUUCCUCCUCUUCCUCUUCCAUCUUCUUCCUCGCCGGCGGUGGCGGCGACAGCGACGGCGGUAGCGAUGGCGACGGCGGCGGCGGCCCUCUCCCUCUUCCUCUUCCUCUUCCUCUUCUCUCUUCCUCUCCCUCUUCCCUCUUCCCCCUUCUUCUUCCCCUCCUUCUUCCUCUUCCCUUUUCUUCGUCGCCGGCGAGGGAGAAGAUCCGGCGGCGACGGCGGCGACGAACCCUCUCCCUCUUCCCUCUUCCUCUUCCUCUUCCUCUUCUUCGUCGCCGGCGAGGGAGGAGAUGCGGCGUCGGCGGCGGUAAAAGCAAACCCUCUCCUUCUUCCUCUUCCUCUUCCCUCUUCUUCUCCCUCUUGCUCUCCUUCUUUCUCUUCCCUCUUCUUCGUCCCCGGCGAAUCCAACCCCGCGCUGCUGCUGCCGCCGCCGUCCACUCCGGUGGGCCAAAGAGGGAGAGAAAGGGAAGGGAAAGAGAUUUGGAGGGAUAUAUUUGUGAAGGUAAAAAAGUCAUUUCACGAGAAAACUAUUAAAAAAUUAACAGUUUCUUAACAGAUUUCAACCAGAGGGACAUACUGUAUAACUUAAGACUUUUGCAGGGACAACUUAUGAAAUUUCCGUUUUAUAAGAAUAUUUCUGCAAUUCACUAUGUUUGCAGGGACGUGUAUGCAAAUAAUCCAAUAAUAUAUUAUUAUUAUUAUUAAAAUAUAAAGUUACAAGAGCAACUCCUAAAUUUGGGCCCGCAUGAGGGCAAAAAAAGUUUAGACCAUAACUAUUAAAUUGCUAUUAAUUUAAUUUUAAGUAAAAAUAUACAUAAUCUUAUAGUCAUUUUGGGUCGGCUAUUUAAUUUUUUUAAAUUUAAAUUUUACUAUUCACUCUUUCAAAUUUUUUAAUUUGAGUUGGCCAACAGUAUUUUAAUUUUAAAAUUUAAAUUAAUUUACUUAUUUUAAUAAAUUUGUAGUUAACGUAUAGGUGAUCGACUCAAAUCAAAUAAAUUAAAAAAUUAGAUAGAAAAAUUAAAAUUUUAAAAAAUUAAAUAGUCAAUUUAAAAUAAUUUAUAGUCAAAACGAGUCCUUUAUAUUUUUACCUUAAUUUUACUCCAAAAUUAAUAGGCAUAUAUAUAUAUUAUUAAUUUACUUGAAAUUCUAAAAAGUUAACUUUGGACCGUCUACUGAAAAUUUUCUCUCUUUUAUUUUAAUGUGAUCUCGACCGUCGACAAAGCACGCGGCCAAUCUCAUCCGUGUGAUCGUAUCCAUUCCCUGCUGUUUCACGACCAAAACACACCGUUGAAACUUGGUAACCAAUCGAACGGCUACGAUUAAUUCGCAUUCGCCCAUCGCGACCAGGUCGGCGGCGAAGUCCACUCGCGUCGGAUCUCUCCAACCUCUCUCUCUCUCUCUCCCCACUCUCUCUCUCCCACACUCUCUUUCGAACCCUAACCCUAACUCUAAAUGGGAUCGAUCCUGCGUUGAUAAUCGCCUAUUGAUCCCGCGUCCGAAGUCGAAGCUCUCCCAUGGAGCGGCUCCGCCUCAGAUCGUCCUCCUCCAAGGCCGUGGUCGUCUCUCUCCUCCUCCUAUUCCUCCUCUUCGGCUUCGCCGGGAACUUAGCCGGAGCCGAGACCCCGAGGCCGAAGAACGUCCAAGCGUCGCUCCGGGCGAAGUGGGCGGGGACUCCAUUGUUGCUCGAAGCCAAGUAUGAUCUCUUCUUGAACUCUCUAAUGCUAUUCACUUGAUCGCAUCAUAUCUGAUUCGGUUGGUUUGUGUGAUUUUGCUAAUCUCGUAGUUCAGUUUCCUCCAUGUUUCAGUGUUUAUGUGGGUAAUUAGUAGCGUUUUCUUCAUUAAAGUGUAAUUUUUUACUUGAAUUCUUUAGACUCUUUGAUUGAAGUAGUAAAGGAAGCAUUUUGAUUGGAAUUAAUAUAUUGAGAUAACUGGUAUACUGUGAGUUGGACACAAUUUGAUGAAACUUGGCAACGGGGUCGUGAAUUAUACUUUAAGCACUAACUUUCUAUCUCAAGCUGGAACACCCUUUCAUUGCAUUUAGCACAUUGGCUGCUGAAAUAAUUGCACAACACACACGGAUAAAUACAUAGUAACGGGCUACAUGGUAUAAGUGUGCUUAGAUCUGAGGUUGGUGGGUGCAUUUGUUUGUUGCUGGAUCUCUUGAAUCAUUUGGAUAUAAUAUUCAUGCUGGAAAUGGCUUAUACAAUUAAGAGUUUGACCAUAUAACACAUAAUACUGGAAUAAUUGUAGAAAGAUGAAGUGAUGAAGUGUCUCAAAACCCUAAUGCUGCUACAAAUUGGCCAUUUAUAAACACGACUUACUGAUUUUCAACAUGCCUAUUUUCUUCUGUUAUUAAAUAGUUUAUGUUUGCAUCGAAGAACUGACUUCUGAAGCUUGUUGCUUUUAGAGAAUAAAAGAGUUUCUUGAUCAAAAUCUUUAAAUUACACACCUUGUUAAUCAAGGAAAAAAGGGAUUUUGAUGGAUAACUGAAACUUCUUUUUAUUAUGACAGCGAGUUGCUUUCUAAAGAAUGGAAGAAUCUGUUCUGGGAGUUCAUUGAUCUUUGGAUAGAGCCAGAUAAAGGUUCCGAAUGCUUGACAGCCAAAUGUUGCCUCCAGAAAAUCGUUGAGGAUGCACAGUCACUUUUAAGUGAAUCUUUGGGAUCAGUUUUUGAGUUCUCUCUUACUCUCCGGUCAGCAUCACCUAGAUUAGAGCUGUACAGGAAGCUGGCGCAGGACUCUUUGUAUUCUUCAGAUUAUGGCAAAUCAGAGCAAGUCAAUAAUGAUGCUAAUGAAGAGCAUUUUCAGAAAAAUACAAAUCCAAUUUCUGGAGGAACUUGUUGUUGGGUAGACACUGGUAAUGUGCUGCUUACUAAUGUGAGUGGUCUACUUCAAUGGCUUGAGGACUCAUCCAAACUGUAAGUUGCAUUUGUUAAUGCUAAAUUAUUUCUGCCUACUAUUUAAACUUUCUUUAAUUUGUCUUGAUCAUACUACUGGAGACUUAGAACAAGAGUGUUGGAACAGAGCUGUGGACUCUUCUGAGCAGCCUGAGCUUUUUGAAUUUGAUCACGUUUACCCCCAUUCAAGCAUUACUGGUCCAGUUGCUAUAUUAUAUGGGGCUGUUGGGACAGAGUGCUUCAAAGAGUUUCAUGUUAUCCUAGUGGAGGCAUCUAAAAAGGUAAAAUCCUAGGUUUGGGGAUUUUUUCAGUCACGAGUUACAAACUAUACACGCUUUUGUUUGCAUUCAUUUUUUGUGUAUAGCGGUGAAAGAUAUUAACACAGCUGUGUUUAAUCAAAAUUCGUACAGUUUGUUGUCAUCAUGUACGUUUUAUAUUGUGCCAUUCUUGAUGUAUCUAUUUAACAAGUUGUUUGCUGCUUCCAGGGAAAAGUGAAGUAUGUGUUGCGGCCUGUGCUGCCGUCUGGAUGCCAAGCUAAGUCUAGCUAUUGCAGUGCCGUUGGUUCUGUAGAUGCAGUUACUUUGGCUGGUUAUGGGGUUGAGCUUGCUUUGAAAAACAUGGAGUACAAGGCUAUGGAUGACACUGCAGUAAACAAAGGUUGCUUGAUGAAGUUACACAUAGAUCUAAUCGCCUUUCAUUUUCAUCUAAAAUACUCCUUCCUAGGAUCCCAAGCUGGCGGGGCUGUAGCUGGUUAAUGAUUCUAUGAUUUAUUUUGAUUUUUUUACUGUUUUGAUAAUGAGCUAUAGAUGAUGGAUAUCGAAACACCUGUAGUAUGUAUCUUCAAGUAAAACUUGACUGGUAAAUCUACAUGCUUAUGAAUUUUGCAACUGUUCUCUGUUGUCUUUACGACCAUGUUACUAGUUUGAGUCUGACUGUACAGAAUCUUCUUUUGUGAAAUAUUUGGCUGUGGCACUGUUUUUUUUCUCAUUUUUGUGCUAAGGAAAUACUCGGUUAAUUCCGUAUACUGCAGGUGUUACUUCCGAAGAUUCUAGGACUGAAGACCUCAGUCAAGAAGUUAGAGGGUUUAUAAUUUCCAAAAUCUUGGUUUGUUCUUUAUUCUCUUGUAAGAUUAAACAUUGCUAGGAGAUUUCUAUGAUUUAUAGAAGUAGCCAUGAAACAGAAUCUUAUACUCUACUCUCUCUGAAUUGGGAUCUUCAGGAACGCAAGCCAGAGCUUACAACUGAGGUCAUGGCUUUCAGAGAUUAUUUAUUAUCAUCAACAAUAUCCGACACAUUGGAAGUUUGGGAACUGAAGGGUACUGAUUUUCGUGAUUGAUCCAGAAUAUUUAUCUCCUAUCAUUCUAUUCAUUGACUGGAUUAUGCAUAAUUCAUUUGAAGGAUGUGCUGCCUGCUCUUAACUUUUUGUCUUCUGCUGCAGACCUGGGUCAUCAAACUGCACAAAGGAUUGUUCAUGCAUCUGAUCCUUUACUGUCAAUGCAAGAAAUCAAUCAAAACUUUCCCAGUGUAGUUUCUUCACUAUCUCGCAUGAAGGUAAGAUGGUUUCUGGAAAUUCCUACAUUGUAAGCAAUUAAGCAUCUGAUAUUGUUGUUAAUAUAUCUUCUGAGUUGUACUUCCUGUAUGCAGCUUGAUGCCUCUAUCAAGGAUGAAAUACUUGCAAACCAGCGAAUGGUCCCUCCUGGCAAGUCUUUAAUGGCCUUGAAUGGUGCCCUAAUCAGUAUCGAGGAUAUCGAUCUCUACCUGUAAUACUCUUCCACUGUUGGAUUAUAUAAAUAUAAUAUGUUGCAUCUGCAAAAUUUUGUUUAGACAGGGAUUCAUUCAUUUUCCCUGCUGUAACCUAUGCACUUUGACGUGCUUUAAUACAACUCGAAGAACUAAAAUAUACAUUUCAUUAUUGCUACCAACUUGAAUGCGCUCUAAUUUAACUGGUUAAGGCUUGUAAAAAAGUACUUUUUAAAAUUCUUGAGGUGGUUAUGACCUUUUGUUAGUGUGCAAAUAAAUUUAAUGCUUGUACAGUCACUACAUUUUUUAGGUGGCAGAUAUAUGCACUACUUGUUAGUGCCUGCUUUAUAAACUAUUUGUAAUUAUUCAAAUCUAUUUUCUUGUCUUGUAGGUUAAUGGAUUUGGUUCAUGAAGAAUUGUCGCUGGCCGAUCAGUUUUCGAAAGUGCAGGUAAAUGUUUUUCCUUUGAUGAAACUCUCUCUUGUUGUCUUGUUGGUUGAUGACUUAAGGACAAUUCGAAGAACUGCAAUGACUUAUCAUUUAUGUUCUUUCAAAAUUAGGAAUUUGGGGACUAUUUCGAAAGUCAGCAUGACUUUUACUUUGGUACUCCUGUUGUACAAUGUAUUAUUCUGAUAACACAGUUGUUGUACCAGCAGAUCCAAUCCAACUCCAAUAUAUAUACUUGUCCUGUUUUGUCUUCAAAGUUUUAUUGGCUUUCUUUUCAUGUUUAGACUAGUGAAAGAAUCGCUCUAUGCUGCGGAUAUAAAAUAUUUUAAUAAUAAUUUUUAGUUUAUAUUUAUAUAUUUUUUAUAUAGUUUUAUAAGUCUAACCAUUGAUUAAGUAAAAGUUAUAGUAAAAAUAAUUUAAUAAUUAAAUAUGUUUAAAUAAAAAUGAUUAAAAUUGAUAUAUGUGCAACGUAAAUUUAUAUAAUAGCUUAUUACUAAUUAAAUUAUUUAGUAAUUAAAUUAUUUUAUAAAGAUUUAUGUGAAAAAGAUUUGAGAUAAAUCUAUCCAAAUAAUUUAAAUAAAUCAAUAAAUAAAAGAAAAAUAAAUAGUAGAAGAAAUUGUUUAUAAAAUUAUAUUUUUAUUUAUACAGACAGACACACACUACAUUUAUAAAUUCUUAUUCCAAAAAUUUAAAUUUGUAUUUUUUUUUUAUAUGUCAGCAUUUUACAUGAUUUCGAUUGUAUCUACUGGAUUAGAUUUUAUUACACAAUUUAUUACGCGUAUUAUUAAUAAAAUUAAUUAAUUAUAUUAUAUAUACAAUUAAUUAAUUAAUUUUAUAGGGUUUAGGGGUUUAAAUUUUGAAGUUUGAAAUUUAGAAAUAAAUAUUAUAAACGUUAAAAUUUGGAACUUUAAAAUUUGAAAUUAUAAAAUUUAAAAUUUUAAUAUCUAAAAUUUAGAAUUUAGAAUUUAGAAUUUAGAAUUUAAAAUUAUAUAUAUAUAUCUAGAGAGAGAGAGGGAGAGAGAGAGAGAGAGAGGAGGAGGGUUGGUGGGACACGUGUCACUCUAAGGUCCCCCCAAACCCUCCUUUAAUGUAGAAGAAAGAAUAGACCGAUUUUCAUUUCACCAAUAUUGCCACCAGUUCAAUUGACAUAGUUAUUUAUAUCUCAGAUUCCUCAAAGCACCAUUCAGAAGCUGUUGUCAGCAGCGCCACCAGUCGACUCUAAUGCUUUUCGUGUUGAUUUUCGUUCGUCUCAUGUUCACUAUCUUAAUAACUUGGAGGAAGAUAACAUGUACAAGAGGUGGAGAAGUAACAUCAAUGAGGUUUCACUAUCUGUUUUUCUUUUAAAAUUUGUUAUUACACUUGAGCAACAAUAAAUGCACAUUUUUAUUGGUGGUAGUUUGCAGGCACUUUUAUCUUUAACUUGUUCCUUUUGACAAUGCCGUCUUUUUGUUUGAUGAUGUAGAUAUUAAUGCCAGUAUUUCCCGGUCAGCUCCACUACAUACGGAAAAAUUUGUUUCAUGCUGUUUAUGUACUUGAUCCUGCUACACCUUGUGGCGUCGAGGCAUGUUUCCCCUCUUUUUUAAUGCAGUCUUUUAUUGUUCUGAAAGUUCCAUCAUAAAUUUGUGCUGACCAUGUGAGUACUCUUGUUCUUUCAUUUCUUUUUUGCCAAACUUUAUAGACUAUCGACAUGCUUCUAUCUCUCUAUCAAAGUAGUGUACCGAUGAGGUUUGGAGUGAUACUGUACUCCUCAAAACUUGUCAACAUUAUUGAAGAAAAUGGUGGCAAUCUUCCGUCAUUGUCGGAUGGCACCAAAAAUAGGGAAGACAUUUCCAGCUUGGUAAUCUCCUUUCCUAUACUGUAAUUUCGAAAUUUCUAUUUUAUUUGAAGUGAAAUUGGUGAUUAAUGAGCUCACAGUAAAAACAUGUUGGAAAUAUGUGGCUAUAAUGCAUGGCCGAGACAUUGGUGCGUGGCUGUAAUGCAUGUGGCUGAGACGUUGGUGCUUAGUGCUAUUAAUUUUCUUUUAGCAAAGAAGUUUUUACUGUAACUGAAAUGUGAUGGGGCAAAUCUGCAAAUGUCAAUGCUGGGCAGUUAGACAUGAUUCUGUUUGCUUACUAUUCCAAGAUUAUAGGUGAAUCUACCAUAAUGGUUUAUGCAUGCCAUUUGUAUCAAACAUUAGCGGCGGCUAUUCUUUUUUAGUGCACUCCACAGGCUCAAUUUACAUGACAAAUUCUGUUUUUCUUGUUGAAAUGUUUUCUUCAGUAGAUUUGGUACCUUCCCAUGGUUUUUUCCCCUGCAAUGCUGUUUUCAAUAGCUUCUUGGAAAUACUUUUUUUCUUCAGUCAUGAGGGAAUAGGUUUUAUUUUAUUUUAUUUAUUUAUUUUUUUACUUUUUGAAGUUCUUGAUGAACAACGGGAUUCUAGUUUAUGCUUUAUGCGCUUAGAUUCUAAAUAAAAUAACUGUGAAAAAGAGACAAGUCAUGUAGUGCAGGUCCCAAGGUUCUUCAAGACUUCAACUUUAUUAUUAGAAUAUUUGAGUAUUAACUGGAUGUAAUGUCUAUGUUUCACUAUUCACUGCCGAAUUCUGAUAUUUCUGGGAAUACUUCACCACCUUUAUAACUGGAGUUCUUUCUGGUAUAAAAUGCAUAAUUGGUGGUGAAUCAUUUGAAAUUUAUGCAAGCAUGUAAGAUUAUCUCUUUUUUUCUGAUGGCAGGUCAUUAUUAAUUUCAAAGCUCCACGUUGUGCCUGACCUGAUAAACGUGAUUUGUGGCUAACUUUGAUUUUUUUGGUUUUGUUAUGGUGCACUGUCAGUUCAAAUUUUAUGUUGCUUAUCCGCCGCUUGUUUCUAUUGAUCUUAUUUCUUUUGUUAGUAAUUUAGAAUUUAUGUUGCUUAUUACCGAAAUUGUGCUUUUUAGUUUCCACUUUCUUCUUAUGGCUUGGCCAUUGAUAAUCCUUUUUGUGUGUUCUGCAGAUAAUACGCCUUUUCCUGUACAUCAAAGAAACAUACACAACACAUUUGGCUUUCGAGUUUCUUAGCAAUGUAUGUUAUCCCAGUGAGUUUAGACCAUUCUUCUCUCCAUUGUUAUUGAAAAUGGAGAUAGUACUUGAUCCAUUAUAUUAUACUUUCAUAAAGCCUACUUUUAAAGCAAUUUAUUGAUAUUGUCAAUCGGUGGGUUGCUGGUACUACAAUGCAUUGGUGGGGCUUGAAUUCUUUGCUUGUAUGUAAAUUAUAAUGUUUAUGUUAUGUAAAUUAUAAGUCUUUAUCUUUGAAAAUGAACUUGCUUUUCUUCUUGCAUUUUGAUGCCUUUAUAGAUCUUUGGAUUUUGAUUUCAUGUUUCAUGGAUUUAAACAUAUCAAGUGCAAGAUACAAUUGAGUUUUGAGACUAGUUUUGAGAUUAGUUUAUAAUUAUUUGGUACUUCGUAUUCACUUUGAAGUUCUAAACAUGAACUCCAGAAAUGUCAUGAAUUGAGUACAUUUGUGAACCCCUUAGGUGCAUUUUGUAUUCUUGGUUAUUUCAUUUUUACUGGAGCUGUUUUUAUAUGGGAAAUUUGAUGGAAAAUCAAAUGGACUUAUUGUUUUGAUUGUUUUGAUUCUUCUUCCUUUAGAUACAAAAACAAUGGAGUGAUGUUGACAAUUUUAAUGAAGAAAUGCUUGAAGCACAUCAUGUUGAAGGAGCAUUUGUUGAUACUUUGUUGUAAGUAGGCAUGCUAAAAAUUUGCCUCAAUUUGUUGUAGAAAACUCUUUUUCUCUUAAACUAGAUUUAGCAAAUUUUCCAUCUCUUCUUAUACGUCUUUGUAUUCUGCAGGUCAAAGGCUAAAUCCCCUCCUCAAGAUGUGUUACUAAAAAUCGAAAAAGAAACCAAAUAUAAAGAGGCUGCUGAAGAGAGUUCCCUUGUUGUUUUUAAGCAAGGUUUAUUUAAACUUCGGUGCUGCCUGUUGAUGAAUGGCCUUGUGUAUGAACCAACUGAGGUAAAUAUUUUCUUUUCCUAAUUCCUAUUCAAAUUGUCUUUUUACAACCUGGAAAAUAUUCAGUAUCCUUUCAUAGGUGGUGCUGUGAUUUCCAUUUAUAGUUUCUUGUGAUGUAUGAACUGGUUGUAUAAAUGCCUUGUGUUUUUCCUCUUUUGUGGCAUAGCCUUAUGAAGAAAGCUUCCAAUGAUCGAAUUUCGUAAUAUUGUUCAUUUAAAUGCUUUGGAAAUGGAGAAGCAUUUUGAUAUUUUUCAACCUUUUCUUAUAUACUUUGACUAAUAUGAAUGGUUCCAGCUAAUUUAGUUGCCUCCUAAGUUUGACAGCUGGCCUCUUAUUAGGUGAAUUAUGCCUUGAUCUACCAACUGGCGUGAAACUUCAUGGGUUUUAACAAAUUUGAUAAUUGGUUGCAAAAUCCAUUCUAUCAUACCCUACUCUGUUAUAUAUUUUGAUCUUCUUCCAUUAACUAUGAUGAACCUAAAUUUCUCUACACAAAACCUGUUUGUUAGGGUUGUUCAAAUGGGUAGAUCUUACAACUUAUGAUUAACUAUGAUGCAUUUAUGCAAAUAAUUCACGGCACAAAAUACAUAUGAUUGAAUAUGGUAUAUCGUAAUAUGGUCAGACUGAACAUAUCACUGGAUGUAUCUAAAAAUGUUUUAGUUAUGGAGGUGAAUUGUUCUCGGAGCUGGGAAUUUUGCGGCUGUCUAAGUUGCAAACUUAUUUUUAGUAUAGAGGAGGUUAAUUUAGGAUUCUUUCUUUCUUUCUCUUUUUUCUAACUUUCCCCACUAGCUUGUGUUGAUAUGUACUCCAAUGCUGUUCAUUAAGUUGCUUAGUUGUGACGCUUGAUGGAAUAGUCCCACAUCUGGGAAAGGGAAUAUGAUUGGGAAUAUAAGGAUUAGAAACCUAAAUAAUAAUAACUGGGCUUGAGCAUUUUGGGCUAGUAUUUUAGGGUCCAACGAGUUAUUAAUGUUAGUGGGCUGGGUUGUUACAUUAGUGAUGGAAAGGGUGGUUAUUUGCAUGCUUUGCAUGGUAAAUAUUACUAUCAAAAGGCAAUAGAAAAAGGUUAUUUCUAAAGUAUGUGUGGUUAGUUUGUGUGGACGAAGUUCAUUGGAACUCAUUUCAUGAUGUUUUAAGGCAUAAAAUCAAUUGAGAAGAUGCAGUUGAUGGACAAUGUCCUUGGCCAAGACUGCUUGUCUCUUACAUAGCAUCUUAUUAUUAAUUUUCAGUGGUACUGGUAUAUAGUUAAAUAAUUAUGCUAGUGUAGUCCGUAAUAAGAUUGUUAAACUAAAUUUGCUAAGUUUCGCAAUUUAAGUUUUAGCUGGUAGGUAGUGCUGUGCUGCUGCUGACUUGUAUAAACUGUAUUCUUUCUGAAUAUUUUGUGCAUACUCUCACAUGUUUAGAGCUGUUCUGUAGGAUUCCACCAUGCAUGCUAUGAAUGAAGAACUUCCUAGGAUUCAAGAACAAGUUUAUUAUGGUCAUAUCAACUCUCACACAGAUGUGUUAGACAAGUUCCUUUCAGAGAGUGGUUACGGACGCUACAACCCAUCUGUAAGUAACUAUUUUUCUGCAGCAUAUUCACUUGAUUAGUUUUCAAAGUUGUAACCUGAUGGAAUUUAUUACCAGAUUAUUGGAGAUGACAAGGGCAAGAAAAAGUUUGUUUCCCUCUUUGCAUCGUUUCUUCAGAGCGAUUCUGUACUUCAUGACAUUGCCUACUUACAUUCUCAUGGAUGUAAGUUUCCUUCAGAAAUUGCAGCUCUAGACGGUAUUGAGUUCCCAUGUAUUUUUUUUUUAAAUUUUAACUUAAAGAUUCUCUGAUCUUUUUGCAGCUGUGGAUGAUUUGAAGCCAGUGACACAUCUUCUUGCUGUGAAUGUUGCUUCUAGGUCAGGGUUAAAAGUGCUGCAUGAGGGGAUACGUUACCUGGUACAAAUGGUUAUUUCAUGUGAUUAUCAUAGUAUUUUGAUUGAGUUUCACAUUACCUUUUGUCUAUUGGCUUCAUAUAGAUGGGAGGAUCUGAAAGAGCCCGCAUUGGUUUACUGCUCUAUGUCGCUGGUGAUGCUUCAAGAUCUGCUUUCCUUUUAGAUAAGAUUUUUGGAAAGACUGCCUCCUCAUUCAGGUACUGUGCAUGUUGGAUUUAUGCUAGAACUGUAUGGAAUUCUCCUCCUAUGUUUGAUUCUUAUGGAGAAUUCACAUGCCUGAUCUCUUUGCAUUGAUUUUUAUGUUGGUGGUUCAAGUAACAAGGAGAAAGUCUUCGACUUCCUGCAUGAACUGUGCACCUUCUAUGAGAACUUGUACAUGUCUGGGUCUUUGGUGGAUUCUGAUGGCGUCAGUAUAAUUUCGGAAAAGGUUUAUGAACUAGCUGGGGAGAAUGGACUCCCAGUUGAAGAGUAUGAAGCAAUCUUCACAAGCUUUUCUUUUGACAAGGAUCAGGAAAAAAGGGAUAAGGUAAGUAUACAAUUUCUUCGUGUUUUGCAAUAGUUUCUCAUAUGAAGGCCCUUUUCUUUCUGGCUUUUAGUCAUGUUCAUGUAUUUAAAUAUUUGGUUUGUUGUCAGUUUGAUAAUCCUAACAUUUAUUUAUAAAAAGUAAUCGUAACAUUUGUUUCAUGCUUGUGUCAUAUUUGCAAGGUGUUAUUAUUUAUUGAUCUCUCUGCACAUAACAAAUAUUGAUUUUAUGGGUACUCUAUUUCAUGACAAAGGAAACACAUUAACUUAUUGCACUUCAACAAACUAUUGAUACUUCUGGUGCUUUGUACUUGCCUAUCAUUGAAAUUUGACUUAGCUUCUCUAUAAUUGAUGCUCCCUGGUCUCUUAUGAGUAGUUCAUAUGCCGGUAAUUCUGAUAAUUCUGGUAGAUGGUUCUUCAUAUGUUGGUUAACAAGUAUCAAGUUAACAACUUCCGUCAAGUUAACAAUGUUCAUUAUUGUGCAGGUUUCAAACUUUUUAUUUGGGCAGCUUGGGCUUGAAUUUGGCUCUAAUGCUGUGAUUACAAAUGGACGGGUGAGCUUUCUGUGUCUCAUUAAUCUAUAGUUUGCUUCUUUUUUCAGGAUAGUCUUUAAGUUGCCAAUUAUCCUUUUUUAUUUUUAAGCUUCUGAGAACACAUUGAUAUCUCCUGAAAUGCAUUUUGUUAUUACUCAUCAUCUUUGGCUAUCAUUGUCGCAGAUAUUUACAUUAAAUGACGGGAACUCCUUCCUAAGUGAUGAUCUUGGUCUUUUGGAUUCUGUGGAGUAUAACCUACGAAUAAAAUACAUUGUAGACAUUAUUGAAGAGGUGGAGUGGGUAGAUGUUGAUCCAGACUACUUAACAAGGUAAGCUCCCUUAUUGGUCCUUUUGGCACUUGUGCAUCGUAAAAAUUACAUGCAUUCUACAUAUCUUUCCUCUUUUUGAUUCUGCAUUAUAUGGACUAGAUCGUGUUAUGUCAUGGUAUCCAUUGUAAACAUUUUUCAUAGCUUUUUACCUGCCUGCAAUGCCUGUGUGCAGCAAAUUUUAUAGUGAUCUUGUUAUGGUGGUUUCAUCAUCCUUGUCUAUCCGCGAACGAAGUUCAGAGAGAGCACGUUUUGAAAUUCUCAAUGGAGAACACAGGUGAGCUAUCUAUUGCUACUUUUAAGAUUUGCCCCUUUUUUUCACAGAUACUUUGGGCCAUGAAAGCAUGCACAGGCUUUUAUUAAUAGUUUUCUCUUUAUGUUCGGCAGCGGAAGAACUCAUGUAAAUACAAAAAUUAUAAUAGAACAAUUUUUUCUAAUACUGUUUAUUCUUCAGUGCUGUCAUUCUAAAUGGUGUGAAUUCAAGUAUACACAUUGAUGCUGUUAUCGAUCCAUUAAGUCCUGCUGGGCAAAAGCUUUCUCCGCUUCUCUUGGUACUUUGGAGACGCAUUCACCCUAGCAUGAGAAUUGUGCUUAAUCCAAUUGUAAGUACUUAAUAUGAUCCUAUGUUCUGUGUUGAAUCUGCAUGGUGAUUGUGCUAUCCAUGAGAACAUUUAAAUGUAGUUGUAGGGAUUUCUGAUAUAUCACAUACUACAUGAUGAUAUAAUAGAAGCAUUGUGUUUUGGGUCUUCUAUUGUAAAACUGGAUUCUGACACUUGAAUUUAGGUCAAAUGUCUGUCUUCUUCCAUUUUACUUUAUUUCUUAAAGAGUUUUCAAGCACCUUUUUUCCUUUUUUCUUCAUUUUUUAUUUUUUUCCCCUAUUUUUUGUUGUGAUUUUUCUUUGGGGCAGAGGUGGUGGGGUUAAUUUUUUUUUCCCCUUCCUUCGAGUGCUUGAUCUGUGUCUGCAUAUCUACCUGAAAAAUAGUGCUGAACCAUUUCAGACCUGAAACAUGUUAAUUUAGUUUAUUGACUUUUCAGAUAAUCUGGAUGGAAUGAAAAUGAGUGGUAAAUAGGUGUUCAUAGUAGUCCCUUUUAUCUUAUUGUCCACUGUGACAAGAGCUUGAUAUGAUUAGAGAUAUUCUGGCUGCUUCAGAUGAUUAGUGACUUGGUUAGUACUGAGUAAAUAUGCUCGCAUGCAAUUCGGUUCAGUGGCAUCAAAAGUUGAGAAUGAUAUUUUGAGAAUGCAGGGCCUAAUUGUCGGAACAAGGUUGUUCUGGUGGUUGGCGUCUCUACAUGGUGAACUUUUUAAAGAGGCAAAUUUAGAAACAUUCGGUCAGGUUCACAAAAA
rnacentral:lncRNA from 1 species